rnacentral:lncRNA from 1 species
UUUUUUUUUUUUUUCUUUUUUUUGUGUUUUUUNCCCACCAACUCACCAUCAGAAGUCAAGCAUAGUUUUACAACAUUUUAAGGCAUAAUUCAAUUUUAAUUAUAAUUUUCCAUUUCCAGUAGUUCAACAACAAUCAAGUUACAUAAUAAUUUACAUAAAAAAUUAUAAAAAGUAUGUUUAUGUUGAAAAUUGUAAGGAGAGUGCAACCUUCUCUAUAGCUAUUCUCAAUCUACUACUAGCAUUAUAAUUAAACAUGAGAAUUUGACAGCAUAACUUGACAUAAUAAAUCAGUAAUUCUAAUAUUAGUACAAUGCAAAAUCAAUGAUAUCCCGAGUUUUGACAAAGACUAAACAAGUUUUUACUCUGUUAGCACAUUUUUUCCUCUUAAAGGUGAAAAAGAUGGGCAUUUAAGUUGCAAUAAGUAUUAGUACAUGGUGAGAAAAUUGUUUAUUAUGGGCAAAAGUGUCAACCCCAUCAAUUAUUCAAUAUUUCAUUAUUUUUUAUUAAAAAUAUUUGGUAAAAGACAGAUUCAUGGUGAGUUUGGUUGGAACUCAUUUUUAGGUGACUGGGUCGAGUCAGCAAGAGAAAGAAGGGGAGAGCACUGAGUCAAAGGUUGGCAAAAGAAGACAGUGUCGUCCUGAGUCGUGUGACCCGAGCAAUUCUCUCAGCAAAGGGGGAUCCUUUUAUUUAUUCCAUUCGUCUAGGACAAAGACUUUUGGACACGUGUCAAGCCAGGGUGGAUGGGGACCACGACCAGAAUCACAUGCACAGCAAAAUGAAGAAAAGCAAGAAGCGACCUUUUUAUUACACCUUCAUGACUUCAUUGCUCCCUUACUGCCUGAAGUUGUUGGGCCUCUAAAUCUCAACCAAUCAAAUAAUUCAUUCAUCUUUGUUUUUUUCUGCUCUUCCAAAUCAACCCACACUUUGGAUUACUUAGGCUUAAAAUCUUCUCAAUUCUUCAUCAUAUGCUAUGGUGAUGCAUUUGUUGGUCCCCCAACUUCUGUUUAUGAUGGCAUCAAUUUUUAUGUUUUGCAGAGUGAUGUUAAUGCAAAUAAAAAUACCCAACAGAGUAGUGGUUUAAUAUGAGCUUUCAGUUUGUAUAUGCAUAGGGUUUCCUCAAUAAAUAUAUCAAUAUAUCCUGGAAAGAAAAUUUAUUGCAUGGAAUCAAUGAUGACAUGUAAUCUGGGUAAAGCCUUUGAUAAUUUGGGAAAAGAAAGGGAAUAUUUGCUUUUUAUUCAUAAUAAUGAUCUUGAUAUAGGGCAAUUAAAACAAACUAGUAUAUUAAAGUUGUUAAAUUGUUGAAACAAGGGAGGCAAAACGGUAAAAGAUAUUUGACAGUUGCAAAGCUGCAAUCAUGCAUGGAAGAGAUGGUUCUUGGACGUACGUUCCACAAUUUGAAGUUAACAAUUCCAAGUCAUAUAGGUUAAAAGUCAUGCGAAGUAAAGAGGGUAGAGUAAGACCAAUCAGUCAGAGGUUGAUCAAACUUGUACAAACAGUUGACUGCAGUUUUCUCUCUCAGUGGGAAAAAUAUGGACUCUCAUUUCUCGAGGUGCCACAAGUUCAAAGACACAACUGUCAUCCAUCUCCAGCUUGUUAUCAACUGCAAAUCUUCGCCAACCUUUGGAGAAAACCUUGUUGGUGUCAGUGUAUAGCAAAGUCACCUCCCAAGAUUUCUCUUUUGAAGUCCAGAAGGUGAAUUCUGUUCUGGCUUGAGGAAGAUGUGCAUUGAGAAAAGAUGUGGGGAUGGUCUGUAGGAAUGACAAAUUCUACUUAAUAUGCUUGUCAUGGUUAAAAUUCCGAAAGACAAACCUUUGAGGUUGAAAUAUGCUUACCAGUAGGAAUGGGAUAUCCACAUUACACCUUGUAAUGCAAUGCUUGAAAUGGGGGAAGUUGGAGGUGAAAUCUUUAGCCGCUUUACAAAGCUUUGCUGUAAUUUUUCUACCUGCUGGCCGCUUCCUCGAGGAAGAGGCUAAAUCUUUUUCCUCUGCUGAUUUUUUCUUAGCCUUCCCUCCAAUUUGAACUUGUGAUUUGGUCUUCACCAUAUCAGUAACGUCCAUUUCUUCUUCCUUAAUUUUUUCAGUCGAGUCUUGGUGCAUCCGGGUGAUUGAAACACAGUUCCUCUCGCAUCCACUUUUCUCAAAAAUUUGUACAUCAAAACACAUAUUGCCGUUGUAUCUGAGCACCAAGAAAUCCUUGUCCCCCAAGCAGUGAUUUUGGUAAAACUGCUGCCAACCAUGCUGCAUGAUUGUGCUUCUGUCCUGCUUGCACAUAGUAAUCUUCCAAUAAUCACCGGAAGGACCCCUCAGAACUGCUCUAGUGGGGAUUCUUUUUGGUAGAUGGGUUCUAACAAAAUGUGGUGGAAUUUCCUGGAAUAAAUUUGAGAGAGAAGUUUAAACAGCCAUGGACUGGAAAAGCAUAUAUUCAAUAUUGUGCAAAUCAUACAACCAUGUUUGAUGGACCCUUUCUAGGAUAUUUAAUAUUCAUAUAGAUCCUGUUGUAUCCUUAACUUUAUUGUAGAAUUCAAACUUUAUUAGGACUAUGCCUUUUUAACUGUUAUACCAAACACAAUCUUUCUGUCAUAUGAACCAGCAGUGCAUUUCUUCACCCACCCCUGAAACCCCCCCUACUCUUACCUUUCAUCAGUCAUUACCCAAUUCUAGGAUUACUCAAUCAAAACCUUAUCAGACUAGCCAUCAAAAUCUUAAAUGAACUUUUCUCAGUUUUCCUUUAAUUUUAUCAACAAAAAACAGACUGCAGCAGGUCUCAAAUUCAAAUUUAAAUAAAAACUUGAACAACAUUAUGUAAAACAGAAAAGAGAGGAGAAAGAAAGAAAACUUACAAAGAAAGACAUAUAAAAAACCAAAUCCAUUAUAUAUAUCCAUCAUCCUCUAAUUUCCAAGGCUAAACUUUCCCACAAACAUAAAAGAACAGAGCAGUUCGUAUGUAUAAAGGCUUGCAUAGUGCUUGUCUGCAACUCUAAAUAAACAAAUCACAGACAGUUUAAACAAACAACAGAAUGAAGAAUCAGAAACAUAGGAAAAAAGGCUGUUUUCCUUGGUAAAGUCUGCAGAGAAAAUGAAAGACAGAACAAGAAGGAAAAAUGCAGCAAACUUAUACUACAUCUUUCAUGUGCAAAAGCAUACAUAUACACAGGUCAUUUGCUUACAAAUGAACACAAAUAUCUCAGCAUUAAGUCAUCACUUCUGCUGGUAGUGUCGGGUAGCAUUAGCUACUCCCACUAACUGCUGAAUUUUUUUUUUUUUGAAAGUUGUUGUUCAUUCCAUAACAGAGGAUACUAAAGGUUCACCUCUGGGAGAAGUACAAACAUGAUUAAAGUCUGUUACUCACCUAUUUGGGGAUAACAGCCCUUAAUCACUACAUAGCCAAUCCCUUAAGGAUACAUCCAGAGAGAACACACACAAGCCUGCAGUACCCUUCCCAGAAAAAAACAGAGUCCAUCCUGUACCUUUCCAAAAGAAAAACCCAAGCAAAUCCCGCCACCCUCAAAAACUACUAGGUGGACAGGAUCAUAAACUGUACACAAUAUUCCACAACACCACCUCCCUAACGACCUAACAGGACAAUGGGUUAGCCACACAAAACAAGCUUACCCCUUAACCGACCUCAUGCCCCAGGUGGCUGCAUCAAAAAAGAACCCCUGGACUGUAGCAUACACAAACUGUGGUAUCCCUUCAAGAGGAGAGCCAUCAGCACCUUCUAUACAUAUCCUAGACCAUAUCCACCACUGAACCCCCAGUUACAAAAAGCAGUAGCUUCAAUGUCAUCAUAUCCUUUCCAUGGCCAGAAGCGAGGCUUCAUCCACAACCCCUCAGUAGAACGCAAGAACUUAGACACAGAACUUCCCCGACAUCCACCACAAUCCAAAAAACUUUGAACCCUCAUAGUGUCUCCCAAGAAUUAACCACUAAAACAAGUAUUAGGCAGACUAAACUUGCUCAGUUGUCUGCUAUGCUGCGGAAACCAGAACCAAAAACAAAGGCAUCGAACCAGACAUGUAUUUCAACUAGAAGAGUUAAAUAUUCAAAAACAAUCUCAAUUCUAACAGCAACCAAAAAAAAAGGACAGAGAAAUCACCAGGCUACGGCUAGCGUCACCCUUAUGUAGGAUGAACAUGGAGAAGGAUGGUCGGUUGUCGUGAUCCGGAAGAUUGCUUUCCACACCCUUUGAGCUCUUAUUCACCAUUUUCUUCUUUGACUCCAAAUGGCUUUGCAUUUUCUUUCUCUGGAACAAAAGGGGUUACAAAACAAAGCUAACUUUGUCAAAACAGAUUCCUCGUUCAAACUUUAUCUCUGGUUUCUAGUUUGUUAUGUUUUUAAAGCUUUCUCUCCAUUUUCAGUCCCAACUAUUUCCUCGUGUAACAAAGUUUUUCCAAAGUAUUAGAGGAACAAACGUUUUAUCAGAAAUAUAUCAAGUUAGCUUGCAAGAAUUAAAUGAAUAAUCUGGUGGUGAUAGAAGCAGUUAAUCCAACUUUCUUCAAUUAUCGAGUUCUGAGCUAUAACUCUGAAUUUUUUAGUGUUCUGACAGAAUUUUCAGAACAGCAUGCAUAUAUAGUUCUUCAGCAACAACUCUUUUUUGAGGUCCAUGCCAAAAGUACACUUAAAAUGGAAUAAAGACAAGCAUUGUUGACAUCUUCAGAUGGGAUUCAAAGCAACUGGUCAUAUAUUCAAACCUUAAGGGACCAAAAAAAAAAAAAAAAAAAAAAAAAAAAAACAUCAACUUGACCUAAAAGUGGAACCGAGUUUUUAUCACAUUCCCCCUACUCACUCACUCACUGAGUUUUAAUCUCGCCUGCUUAACCCAAGCACCCACCGUGUGUCCCACCAACUCCCCUGCUUGUUUUUUAGUGGUUUUUUUUUUCCUUUUUUGUGCUGACCCACCAACUCACCAUCGGAAGUCAAGCAUAGUUUUACAUCAUUUUAAGGAAUAUUCAAUUUUAAUUGUAAUUUUCCAUUGCCAGUACUUCAACAACAAUCAAGUUAUAUAAUAAUUUACAUAAAAAAAUUAUAAAAAGUAUGUUUAUGUUGAAAAUUGUAAGGAGAGUGCAACCUUCUCUAUAGCUAUCCUCAAUCUACUACUAGCAUUAUAAUUAAACAUGAGAAUUCGACAGCAUAACUUGACAUAAUAAAUCAGUAAUUCUAAUAAUAGUACAAUGCAAGAUCAAUUAUAUCCCGAGUUUUGACAAAGACUGAAUAAGUUUUUACUCUGUUAGCACAUUUUUUCCCCUUAAAGAUGAAAAAGAUGGGCAUUUAAGUUACAAUAAGUAUUAGUACUUGGUGAGAAAAUUGUUUAUUAUGGGCAAAAGUGUCAACCCCAUCAAUUAUUCAAUAUUUCAUUAUUUUUUAUUAAAAAUAUUUGGUAAAAGACAGAUUCAUGGUGAGUUUGGUUGGAACUCAUUUUUAGGUGACUGGGUCGAGUCAGCAAGAGAAAGAAGGGGAGAGCACUGAGUCAAAGGUUGGCAAAAGAAGACAGUGUCGUCCUGAGUCGUGUGACCCGAGCAAUUCUCUCAGCAAAGGGGGAUCCUUUUAUUUAUUCCAUUCGUCUAGGACAAAGACUUUUGGACACGUGUCAAGCCAGGGUGGAUGGGGACCACGACCAGAAUCACAUGCACAGCAAAAUGAAGAAAAGCAAGAAGCGACCUUUUUAUUACACCUUCAUGACUUCAUUGCUCCCUUACUGCCUGAAGUUGUUGGGCCUCUAAAUCUCAACCAAUCAAAUAAUUCAUUCAUCUUUGUUUUUUUCUGCUCUUCCAAAUCAACCCACACUUUGGAUUACUUAGGCUUAAAAUCUUCUCAAUUCUUCAUCAUAUGCUAUGGUGAUGCAUUUGUUGGUCCCCCAACUUCUGUUUAUGAUGGCAUCAAUUUUUAUGUUUUGCAGAGUGAUGUUAAUGCAAAUAAAAAUACCCAACAGAGUAGUGGUUUAAUAUGAGCUUUCAGUUUGUAUAUGCAUAGGGUUUCCUCAAUAAAUAUAUCAAUAUAUCCUGGAAAGAAAAUUUAUUGCAUGGAAUCAAUGAUGACAUGUAAUCUGGGUAAAGCCUUUGAUAAUUUGGGAAAAGAAAGGGAAUAUUUGCUUUUUAUUCAUAAUAAUGAUCUUGAUAUAGGGCAAUUAAAACAAACUAGUAUAUUAAAGUUGUUAAAUUGUUGAAACAAGGGAGGCAAAACGGUAAAAGAUAUUUGACAGUUGCAAAGCUGCAAUCAUGCAUGGAAGAGAUGGUUCUUGGACGUACGUUCCACAAUUUGAAGUUAACAAUUCCAAGUCAUAUAGGUUAAAAGUCAUGCGAAGUAAAGAGGGUAGAGUAAGACCAAUCAGUCAGAGGUUGAUCAAACUUGUACAAACAGUUGACUGCAGUUUUCUCUCUCAGUGGGAAAAAUAUGGACUCUCAUUUCUCGAGGUGCCACAAGUUCAAAGACACAACUGUCAUCCAUCUCCAGCUUGUUAUCAACUGCAAAUCUUCGCCAACCUUUGGAGAAAACCUUGUUGGUGUCAGUGUAUAGCAAAGUCACCUCCCAAGAUUUCUCUUUUGAAGUCCAGAAGGUGAAUUCUGUUCUGGCUUGAGGAAGAUGUGCAUUGAGAAAAGAUGUGGGGAUGGUCUGUAGGAAUGACAAAUUCUACUUAAUAUGCUUGUUGUGGUUAAAAUUCCAAAAAACAAACCAUUGAGGUUGAAAAUGCUUACCAGUAGGAAUGGGACCUCCACAUUACACCGUGUAAUGCAAUGCUUGAAAUGAGGGAAGUUGGAGGUGAAAUUUUUAGCCGCUUUACAAAGCUUUGCUGUAAUUUUUCUACCUGCUGGCCGCUUCCUCGAGGAAGAGGCUAAAUCUUUUUCCUCUGCUGAUUUUUUCUUAGCCUUCCCUCCAAUUUGAACUUGUGAUUUGGUCUUCACCGUAUCAGUAACGUCCAUUUCUUCUUCCUUAAUUUUUUUCAGUCGAGUCUUGGUGCAUCCGGGUGAUUGAAACACAGUUCCUCUCGCAUCCACUUUUCUCAAAAAUUUGUACAUCAAAACACAUAUUGCGGUUGUAUCUGAACACCAAGAAAUCCUUGUCCCCCAAGCAGUGAUUCGGUCCUGCUUGCACAUUGUAAUCUUCGAAAAAUCACCGGAUGGACCCCUAAGAACUGCUCUAGUGGGCAUUCUUUUUGGUAGAUGGGUUCUAAUAAAAUGUGGUGGGAUUUCCUGGAAUAAAUUUGAGAGAGAAGUGUAAACAGCCAUGGACUGGAAAAGCAUCUAUUCAAUAUUGUGCAAAUCAUACAACCAUGUUUGGUGGAUCCUUUCUAGGAUAUUUAAUAUUCAUAUAGAUCUUGUUGUAUCCUUAACUUUAUUGUAGAAUUCAAACUUUAUUAGGACUAUGCCUUUUUAACUGUUAUACCAAACACAAUCUUUCUGUCAUAUGAAUCAGCAGUGCAUUUCUUCACCCACCCCUGAAAAACCCCCCUACUCUUACCUUUCAUCAGUCAUUACCCAAUUCUAGGAUUACUUAAUUGUUCUGCAUUCAUCAAGAAACAAAGAUAAAAUGGAAAAAGGGACAGAUUUGAUUACUUUGAGUUAAAUGGUAAGUAAGAUUAAGGUAAUGGCAAGCCUGAAUUAAUUUUUUUUAAAAAAGGUAGAAACAUUGUCAAGUAAUUCAUGGGCCAAGUGAUAUUUCUUUGUCCAUUUCUAUAUUUUGGGCUAAACCUGAUUUCGUGCACUCAAGGCUUGUGUCUAACCUGGUUAAAGCCAUUAAAAAGGCAAAGGAUUGUCCAUUUUUCACUACAAUAUUUAGCCCAAAAAAGAUAUAUAUUAUACACGUUUGAUUCGGCUUUUCUUUUCAGUUUUUGACUCCCAACUUCCAUGUAACCGUUUCGGGGACAAAGAUCCAUCUGGCCUGCCGAUAUAACCGUUUGGCGCGUCCUAGGUUUCUUCCCAUGAACGUCAAAAGCCCCACCAAUUGUCUCAUCCCAAAUCUUGCACAUAUUAAACCAAAGCACACACAAUUUAUUAAAUUCUUUUCUUCACCCCAGCCUCUCUUUUCUCCUUUUAAUUCACAAAAAGAGAUGAACAUAAAAGGAAAAAAAAAUCAUAGCAAUCGAGUUCUAAGACCAUCUUUGGUGCCUUUGAACAAUAUUGAAUUUUAUGCAGACAUUCUGGUAUGUUUUUGGUCUUUGGUUCUUUAUGAAUUGUUUAUGUUGGUUGCUUCAUUAGCUGGAACUUAAAUUCUAUGGUUGUUACUUGCUAGAUCCUUAAUUUUGUUUACCCUUGUAUAUUGUCAUGGUAAGUUUGUUAGUGUUAUGAUUCUUCUACAUGCAAGUUUUAUUUACCCAUUGGGAUGUUAAUGAUUGUGAGUCCAAGGGUUUUGUUUUUCUUCUUUGGAAUUUAGUAUUAGCAUUGAGUUUUUGUUAUUCUUCUUUGUUAUCAUCACCAAACAAAGAAAUUAAUUCUUCUCCUUUCGAUUAAUUGCAUAUCCAAGCCAGAGCUCAAAGUUUUUCACGAUCUUUCAGAGGUGUUCAGAAGAAUUGGAGGAGGAAGUGUGCCCAUCAUGAGGAGAACGAUCAUGGUGACACAAAUGAUGGUUGUGAUGACGAUGAUGAGGAUGAUGAUUGCUGCAAUUGCAGAUGAUACUAAUGGUGUUUUUAGCCCUUGUGAGGAUUCAAAAGUACAGAAAUCAGAUGGAUUCACCUUUGGUCUUGCGUUCUCGAAGAAGGAAUCUUUUUUCUUUGAUAAUGUUCAGCUUUCGCCCUGUGAUAGUCGGCUUGCCUUAGCCAGUAAAAUGGCCCCACUAGCUGUAUUUAGGCCAAAGGUGGAUGAGAUUUCUCUCCUUACCAUCAAUGGUAGCAUUCCUGUAAGUAUUUGCAUCUCUUGAAACUCUCCAUUUUUAACCUCUGGGUAGUUAGCUAGAACAAUUUUUUUUUUUUUUGUAUAUUUUGCCAUAGACAAAGAUUUUUAUUAAUUCAAGCAAUACUUCGCAUCUCAUAUGCCUUCCAUGAAGUCGAAUGAUAGAGAUUGCUCAGCACAAUGUUUUUAUAACUUCAUAUUAUGUCAAAAGUGUGAUAUCCAUGGCAUCAUUUGGUGCUUCUUUCUUGGUUCUGCAUUUAUAUCGUGUUGGACAAUGACGUUUGAACCAAUACUGAUUACUGACAUUUUCAUCUAUAUAUUUUUCAUAAGCUAAUUUAAUUCUAGAGAAAUCCUCGAAAAAUCAUAUCAUGCCAUCAUGCACAAGCUGGUUUACCCCUCAGAUGUCAAUUCGUUAAACAUGUUGAAAAUUUUUUGUAAUAAGGUCUCGUUUUAGCCACGCUUGACAUAUAGACUUUUUGGGCCUGCACUUUCCAUUUCUGUUUCUCUCCAGUGCUUUCUAUUUUCUCCAUCCCCUAGGCAUAGCAAAUACUUGCAAGAUAACAAAAUCUUAAGUAAAAAAUUACCCGAUUUGGGUUUAAUUAUUUCAUGAUUCUGGAAAUUUCAGAGGUCACUGUAGUUUGAUCAGGGUAAUUUUCUGAAAUGCUCUGUGUUUAUCAAGAUUAUUACUUUACUUUGAUCUGGAGAGCAGGCAAACACAAACAAUAAAUCCACUUUCUCAAGUUUUCCUUGAAUUGGAAAGUAAUGACUUAAUGAAAUCAUAUAUAUAUUCUCUUUUAUAUUCAGUGGCUGUAUCUCUAGCUUUGACCUUCAAGCAGAGCAAGGAGAAUAUUUGCUUCACAACUUCACUGUUCUUUAGUUCCUUGCUCUUUGAGGAAAGUUGAGAACCUUUUUGUGUUUAUAGAAUUGCUAGUGCAAGAACAGUGAAGUAGUUAAUACUUCUGCUGCUUAUUCAUGCCCGAUCAUAAACUUGUUUUCUGAUGAGAAAUUUACAACGUACAUCAAUGAAAAUGUUAAUAAAGUGAUGCAAUCUGAAUAUGUGAUUUUUAUAAAAUUUUCCAGCUUGUAGCCGGUGGAUUCAUGGUAGCAUUUGCAGGAAGGAAGUAUGCAGCCAGGUCAUUUCCAGUAAUGGUUGCUGAUGAUCGAAAUACCAUAACUAGUUUCACUUUGGUAUGCUCAUUACAAGCUGGCAUAUUUCUUCUAUCUUGCUGUGCUAGUAUGACAGAAAUGGAGUUUGUUUGUAUUUUGUUGUUACACAGGUACUUGAAUUCCAUAAGGGUACUCUUCAAAAUUUACACUGGAAAAGUUUUGGUUGUGAUUCAUGUUCUGGGGAGUCUGCUGUUUGCCUCAACAAUCAAGACUGUGCAAUACCAACCCCAAAAUGUGGGCAUACUGGGUGCAGCUUGGGCAUACAGUUAGCAUUUUCUGGCACAGACAAGAACCUUGAACCACUGAAUUCAUGGUAUGAAGUGAACAAAAUUCGGCAAUAUUCUCUCUAUGGCCUAUACUCAGAUCUGCGUGAUUCGAUUACCAAUUCUAUUCCUGGUUUUAUUCCCCACCAAUAACAAGCUUUUCUAAGCCUUCUACUGGCUUAUUCAACAGCUGAGGAUGUACACGAUGGUCCUGAACUAAAUUAUAUGUAUGACUAGGAAGCUAAAUAGGCCGGAACUAAUUACCUGUCCAUGUCAAUGAAUAGCCAGUUUAGCACGAGAAAGCAAUGGAUAUUUGGCUGAUGUUAUGAAUUGGUUGGACUUUUACCACAUCUUUCAGGGAAUUGUGCACAGAAUGGUUUUAAAGAAUAUUAGAGGGUUGCUUCACCGUUCAUUUUCUCCCCUUUAUGCAUCCGAAGUUGACCAUGAUGAGUUUGGAUGAGGUAAUGAGCUACAGACAUAAGACCCAGCCCUUUUUAACUUACACAACAUCAAUACAAUUACCAAGUUAAUUAGUAACGACAUACAUUCCCAGUUCCCACAUAUGCCAAAUAUAUUUUUCUAGGCUUUAUUAGAACUUCACAACAGUAAAAUACGGAGCACAAACUCGGUUUCAGUGUAUUAUAAUGUAUAACUUUUCUGUAGAUAAGCUGCAGUUGCAAAUUCCACGACAAACAGGACAAAUCCAACUGGGAUUUUGGUUUACUUCAGUUCACAUUCUCCCCACCCCUUUACAAAUAGACCCAAAAUCUUGAUUAGGUUUUGGGGAAGUAAAAUAGUACUACCACGAAAAUGGUAGAAAAUAAAAAUAAUUAACUCGUGUAUAAGUAAUCUCCACAAAGUUGGCCUUGGACCAACCUGCAUUUGCUGCAAUGUGUAAGGUGGCCAAGAGUUUUGUGUCUGCGAAAUGGAAACAGGUUAUCCCUAUCCAUGCGUUUUUGACAAUAGAAGAAAAGGGGGAUGAAAUGGAAAAAACCUGUAUUGAGUUUACCUGCAUUGAUGACAUGUCUCUCCUUUGACUGGGACCACAUAUGCGACUGGGACCAGAUAUGCGUUUCCCAUCCACAAGCAGAGUCCAGUUCAUUCUGCGAUCACCCAAAAGCUUUUCUCGCUCCCUAUGCAGUUCCGGUUUCAAACCUUCUUCUAACUGAAUCUCAAUCUCAAAAAUUAAAAAAAAAAAAAACCAACAACAAAGCAUACCCUUAAAAACAAAAAUCCUUAAGUGUUCAAAGUUCAAACAAUCAAAGAGACGCUAAAUUCCAAAACCUAUCGUGAAUGGUGAUGAAUGAAUAUCGAAUAUCACUGACCGUGUUUCUUAAAUGUCCCAAUACAAAUCAACACAAAAUUCCUACUGAAUGGCUGUUGUUAAAAAAAGCAAAAGAAAAACAAUAAUUGAUUUCUAUACAGAAUAAAUCUACAUCCCUGUACAUUACACAAUGUGAAAAGAAGAAAACCUAUUUUCCUAAAUCCCAAAAAGAUCCAUAUAAUUUAAUUUGUAUAAUGAAAAUCAGAGGCACAGCCACUGAGUCGAAUGGUGCACAACGACCACAUCGGUCUUCAGGUUCCUUGAAUACAUGUUCCUUUCUAAGCUUUCUGGAUCAUUGACACAAAAUCUGUUUCUGAGCAGAACCAGAAUCCACAAUUCCUAGGCGACUUUAGUAUGUUUCUUGCCAAACUAGAAACCACGAUUCCUACGCAACUUUAGUAUGUUUCUUGCCAUGAAGAUCCUUCACUAGAUCCCGCAGCUCAGGGAAAACCGAUAUGAGUAGAAGUUCUAAUAUUGCAUAAGCAAGCUGCUUCACACAUAUAGUAGACUGCAAUGGGUAAUAACAUAUAAAUAUACUCAGAAAGUCAAAACUACCAAAAUAAAAAGAAAGUAAAGAAAAAUAUCAGCGACCUAGUUCAUGCGACAGAAGGAUAAAAGCUCAACCUGAGUGAAAUAAUAUAUGUCUCUUGCACACCGUCUGUAUUGCUUAUGCCCGAUCAAGCUAACUAAGGUCGUUGGAGCUCCAUCUGACAAAAAAAGCAAUAUUUUAGAGAUUUUCACCAUUCCUGAGGUCCUAGCUCCAGGGGACAUACAUGUAUAUAUACAUAUAAAUUAAUAAUGAAGUACUUUAAUAAACUAUCUCAAUUAACAUGUACAAUGAUUUGCACGACAUAAACUACAUAAACUAUCUCAAUAAACAACGACUUCAGAAUUUUAAUUAAAAAUAUAACCAUUGAACACUUGCCCAAGCCAUUUAAAACAAUGAUCAAGUGAACUUGCAUCCACAGAUCCAAAAGUCUUGGCACAUCUUCACUCUGAUCUGACAAGAAGAAGAUAUCAAUAACACAAAAACAUACUUACCAAAAAGCAUUUUUUUUAUGUCACUUGCUCUACGAGUAGCCUCAAGUUGCUGCUCAAAGGACCCAGGUUUAGAGACAUUACUGCCACCAAAUUGGCUAAAGUUCUCCGAAGGUGUCUGAUUAGGAUGACAAUUAUCAAAUUUGCUCUGAAUGUUCCCUACCCUUGUAAAGAAUGUACCACCUGGCCACAGAACCUGAGAGAAGAAGAGGCCAUUAGAAGAAACAGAGAACUUGCACAAGGCUCUUCAAGAGUCUUUUGACUAGGUAACAAGUGACAUUGGCUCAUUGGUCUCAAAAAUUGGGCUACAGCUGAGCCUCAGCCAGUCACAGUUCUCAUUCAGACCUGAGUUCAGGUUGAAGACCCCAAUACCAUAUAUACACUGUGUUUUGAAACAGACAGCCAUCUAAAAGUUUAUAUACCACUAGCAGCAGCCUUUAAUGUCAAAGCUCAUGCUUUUACAGCACCAGACGCUGAACCAGUUAACACUAAAAGUUAAUGUAUAAUGUUUCUAAUGUAUUCAGCCUUACAUCUUGAACCCACCGAAUCCCUUGGGCAACAGUUUCCUCAGUCCGAAGGCAGUAAAUCUGCCUCAAAAGCCAGUCAUCAAUGGCAUCUUCCAUCACCAGCUGUAAUAUUUGCUUAGAUAUCCAAAAGACCUGUCUUCUGCAUCAAUGACAACAAGCACAUGUUUAUGCAAAAUUAUAAAGGAAAUAAGUCAUUUUAGAACACCAUGAAGUAGCCAAAAGACUCCUGUCAUUACUUAUUGAACAACAGAAAAUUCAGCAAGCCAUUAUAUAAUUUGCUAGUUCCACAAUAGGUAAUCAACUCACCAUAUCAACCACUCCUAUGCUAGGAAACAGCACUGUAUACUACUUGAACACAUGAUCAAAUAUGCCCUUUUCAUAAUCAACCUAACCUAAACUGACUGCAUAACUUAAUGAUAAAUCAAAAUGACAGGUAAACAAGCAUUAGUAAAACAAAGGUACAAGGUACAAUAUCCUUCUAGGAGAAUCUUUCCAUAUUAUAAUUACUGAAUAAAAGAAGACAUUACCAUGACGUUUUAGCAAUUACUUAAUUCCCAAUUAUGGAAAUAAAGCAAAAAAAGCUCACCUUAGCCAGCCUCUUCUCUUAAGCUGAAACACAUUGUCAACUAGAUUCAGCAAAGGUACGCUCACAUUAGGUGGUGUCCACUACACAAAAAUCAAUAGGUAAGCAUCCAUAAAAUUCCAAACAUAGGAAUAGAAUGCUCUUCCUAAAAUGGAGUUAGCUAACAAAACUCAAACUAUUCAAUCAAAAGAUCAUUAAUAAUAGGGAUGGAUCACAGCCAGACAGACACCAAAGAAAAAGGUUGCAGUAGAAAAUUUGUGCAACCAACCCAGAAAAUUGAAAACCUAGUAAUGAAGCUAACUUUUGGUUGAGAUUCUUAUGAAUGCAAUCCCCAAUUUUAUUGAUAAAGUUGCAAAGCUGACAGUUUAGAGGCAUACACUCACAAGAAAAGAAAAAUUAAGUAUUGGUUGACUGUCAAAAAAUUUCUUUUAGUAUAUGCUAAAUUCUUCUCAGAAAAAAGGAACUAAAAAUAAUAAUUAAAAAAAAAAAACCCACAACAACAACAAUAACAGGAGAACAACAGAGCUAAAGCAUAAUACCUCAGGGGGCAUUCCAACUGGAUCCUCCAAAUAACUGGAGGUUGCUGAUAACUUUAUGGCAGGAAAUCCACCCUGGCCAACUGAUUCAGGUUUCACACCUAAAUUAUGAUUUUCAGAAACUAAAUUACCAGACACUCCACCACGCUCUAUCACCCGUGGUGGCAAACUCUUUGAGUUCAAUUCAUUGUCUGAGUGCCAACCAUGACCUUGUGGACCAGAUCUGUCAUCCUGGUGAUCAUGGCUACCAUCUUUGUCACCAUCUUCAUUAUCAGAAGCACUGUUCACUGUUUCUAAAUUACUUUGCCUUGAAAUAUCUUUAGCCAUCUCAUCUGCAGUCCAUGACAAGGUCCUACCAGUGACUGAAGAUGAGGCUUCACUGGGGGGAGAAGAUGAACCGACAACUUUGCGCAUUAAGCCAUCGGAUACUCCUCUAAAUUGGCGUACGAUAUCAUCCACGGCAUCAUCCACAUUGACUGUUCAUAAACAAGAAAACGGGGAAAUUGUCAGGAAGUAAUCUGAACAAAAAAUGGUCAUUUAUAAGCAAGACAUCAGCCAAGUUAAAAUAAAAUUCUAAACUAUAAAUGGUAGAAUCAAACCAAUAACCAAAAGGAUCUAUGCAUGAUUUUGAGUAAAUUGGACAUAGAAUAUGAGUCCUUCACCAUUUACCAUUCUCAAAAGACAACAAAUUUAACAUGACAGUUCUCUUUCCAAAUGAGGGAGAAAAGGAAGUGAUUCACAUGUAUACGGAUGAUAUAAUCUGUAUAAGAAUUCAAAAUGAUGCUUGAGCCUUUGAAAAUAUAUGCAGGGACGAAUAAUACUUCCCAUCAUUAAACACAAUAUUUUAUAAAAAUGAAAAUGCCAAUAAAAAGAACAAAAACCGAGCAAAUUCAGCACAUAGUACACAACAAAGAGAAGGAGAAUAAUAAACACAAAUAGGUUUUUUAUUUUGCAAUCACUUAAAAUUAACAGCAAACCACCUUAACCAGUAAAAUGGAGAAGACUGAAAUGCAUCCAAAAUUUGGCUCAAUGGCAGUAUCCCCUGCUCAAAGAGCUAGAUUCAAAUCUUUCUUCCCCCAAUAAAAAAAAUAAAACAAAAUGGAGAAAAGAUAUACUGCUGAAAGAUCAUGCAACAAAUUAAGCCAAAGAUAAAGGAUGGAAAUAAAUCAACUGUGGAGCAUUUCCACAAAAGUAUAAAUUAAAGCAAAAGAAAAAGGCCAGAGUAAUCAAAUGAACUUUACACAACCAUAAAAAAAAAUUUUAAAAGAUGAUGAAGUAUUUAUAAGAAAUCUGGGGAUCAAAAAGUUUUAAACAAGAAACAAGAUAUGUCUAUCUCUGAAAGCUGAUAUAGGUAAAACAUGUCAGUAUAAAAGAUGAAACCAGUAAUAGAGCUAAACCUCAUCUACCAGACAACUUAAUGACAAAUGGAAAGGUGACACACAUGACUGCAUUCCGGAAAUUAUAGAUGCCUACUAGGAGUUUCUCUAAACCGUUUUUAUUUUUCUGCAAGACCUUGAUGAAUUGAACUAGUGGAACCACAAGGUGGAACAUAUUCUAAUGUUGGCAGCAGCUUACAGCUGGAACCCAGAUGUCUAAACAGCAAGAAUGACAUAAUAACCAAGAACAGAAAAAACAUACCUGCAAGGGUUCUCAUCACUGAUGAAGAUUUUCCAAAAGAGUAAUUCUUCAAAAGCAAAAUGCAACAAUAAAUAGACUCAGAUGUCAUUAUCCUACCCUUAAAAAUUAAAGUAACACUCCCAUGUCAAGAAGAUACACACCUUUGAGGAAACACUCAAAAAAUCCCACACUUCAUGCUGUUCAGCAACAUUGGCUAUAGACAACAGAUCCUGCAAAAAGGUGGCUUAAUUGAAGCAACAGGUUUAAAAGUAUGCGUACUACAAAAAAGAAAGUGUAGGUAGUAAAUUACUUGCAGAUAUUUGUCAAGCUGAAUGCAGCGCUGAUGAACAAAAGCAUCCUCAGUGCUUGAUGAAAAUAUCCUUUUGGGUGGCAGAUGUAAUGUAUAAUUAGGAAUUUCUUUAAGAAUUCGAUGCAACCGUUCAAAAUUCCUGUAUCUGCAAAUUAAAAAUAAUGAAACAAAAUUAAACCUUUAAAAAAGUAACUAAAGCAACUUUGUGGGAGCUUUCAGUUGUUAUGUUGAGAUGAAUAUAAAGUGACUUAAACCUUAAAGACUUUAAAAUUUCAGAGAUACAUUCAACUGAUAAUGGCCCUUAAACAAAUUGCUUUUUCAUUCUUUUAAAAUUAAAAAAAAAGGUUAGGUGAGAUAAAACCUUCUCUUGACAAACCAAGUUCUUUUUUCUGCAUCUGUCACCGCAAUUGAAUAAACUGCAAAAGAUUUUGAUCCAAGUUUCUCAAAGUAUGCUCCAAUAACCUGCAGAGGUAGACAAGGAAUAGCAAAUCCAAUUAUAGAUCACAGCAAAUGUACAUGGCAACAAUUCAACACUACCAAGUUCAAGAAGUUGUUUUAAUCGAUAUCCCACACCAUAUAAGGAUUCAGCUGGCAGUUCAAAUUUCAAAUUUGCAUAACUCACAGCAAUAUUGACAGGAUUGCUCACCCGGCACCUAAGCAUGGGAAUAUGUGGCCCCUCAUUGCGGAAUACUAUAUUUGAGGCAAUUUUACCCCUAUAUCCUUCAGUAUGCCUGCCAAAAUCAGGGCUGUAGAACUCUGAAAUAAUAGGCCCUCCAACAUCUCCAGUCAGUGCCUUCUUUGUAUCAGGUUCAACUUUCAAAUCGGAGGUACUACUGGAUCUCUUAAGCCUACUUUUAUUUCCAUCAGCAGCUUGCUCACUAGCAACAAUAAAUUUGUUAACAAGAUGAUCUCCUUCAAAUGAUGAUGACUUGUUAAACUCCAAAGCUAAAUUUGUGCCUUUCAUGUUACCAUCACAUAAUUGAGUGUCAAGACUUAAACCAGGCAUUAGCUGCAUCACAGUUUUCUCUUCCCUUCCUGUAGAAGUUCCAAUCUUGUUGGUAGAGAUUUCACUUCCUGAAUUCCCAAUCAAUAUAGCACUCUUUGUCACAGAACCCUUUGGAAUAGAUUCUUGAACUGCUGCUUUUACAUAUUUGUUCUCUUUCUUUUUGUAGUUUCUUCCUUUUGUCCACAUGUUAUCAAGAUUUUCAGGAGCAAGAAUUUCAGUUCUUCUCUGGGUUGCUGCCUCUAAGAUUCGAGCCCAAUCAGCUGGUCUCAGCUGCUCUGAUUCUUCCUUGUAUCUGCUAUGAUCUGAAUAUGUUUCUUUCUGAUUGUCAAUUGUAGCCAAAGUCAAAUCAGUUCCUUGACUGUUUAAGGACGAAAUCUUGCUUGAAGUAGAAUCAGCACCAUGCACUCCCACUGAAGACUGAUCAAAACCUACCACCAUCUUAUUCAUAUCAUCUUUAAUGGCGAGUAGAAUAUAUUCAAUCACUUCAUUGAUAUACCUGACAACAAAACAUAAGGGGAAAAAAAGAUGGAAUAAUAUUUUUUAAGGCAAGGACCAAAGCUUAUAUUCAGGAAACAUGAAGUGCUUGUAAGUUCAUCAUGAGUAGCCUUUUAAACAUUCUCCACCUAUUCUUUUACAUUUGGUCAAUAGUAAGAUUCUAAUCAUGAUUCCACUCCACUUGUAUAAAUGCCAUUCCUUGCAGGAUGGAUUGUAUUCUAAUUAUUCCACUCUUUUUAAAAGCCAAAUAACCACUAAAUAAGAAUGCAUUUCCCCAUCAACCUAAAACUUUCAGCUAACUCAGUUAAAGGGAACUGCAAUCUUCAAUAUUAAGUACUAACUACAUUUUUGCUAUCUUAAUAAUUAAAAAGCAAUAAACUUUCACUCAAUAACUUACCCUGGGCUUGCCAAAUUCAUAAGAGGUUGCACUACCAAGCAAGUUACAAUCUCACGAGCAAUAGUUCGAACCAAAGGACAUUGAGCUUCUCGUGGCCUCAAUACUACUGCUAACACUCCACCAAUAAGCCUCUGAAUAACCUGAAAAAGAAAAUGUAUAAGGAAUUAAACUAAAGCAAACCAUAAACUGCGUAGGCCAAAUGUACUUUCAUCAGAACACUCCACUCACACCUUGUACUCACUCUCUGGUGAAAUUAAUGCAGGAUGAAGCUCUUCAGAAACCAUAAGAUGGUGUUUCAAUCUUUCAUCCCUCUCCUCAGAUGACAAUGUUACCAUAACAUCAACACCUAUUGCUGCUUGGUUUCUUCUAAAAAGAUCCAAGUGAUCUCUUAUCAAAUCAACUAUAUCCCUGAAAACAUUAGACAACCAUUUGAAAUCCUUGAGCUUUAAAAAUGUCAAAUAUUUUUACAAUUGACAGAGCUUCUUACACUACAAGCCUACCUUGUUAGCAAAUCAACAAGGUUUAUCUCUUUCACUCUCCCUGAUAUUUCACCGAUAGCAUCCAAAAUCACUGUACGGAUCAACUCAGGGGCCUCCCUAUCUGGAGUGAUCUCCGAGUACCACAAAUCAACAACAAAAUCCUUAAGUAUUUUAUCAAUGAACUCAUUGAGAGCAGUCUCCACCUUAGGAGAAUCAAUUUUCCGCUUCCACUUGGGUGGAGGCGGUGAGCUGGAAAGACGGGAAUCAUUCAAAGACAACUGUUUCUUCUCCAAAUAAGACAAAAAAGUUUGCGGACGAACUGAUUGAACUUUCCAUUUGAACUCAACCUCAUUGGAAAUAAUUCGAAAUGCAGCAACAAUAAGAAUUGCUAUAGGUAAAUUCAUCCACAUUGAUGUACUCGUAUCUGCAUCAAUUAACAAAGCAGAAUAACCAAAAAAACACUCUUACAAACUUCAAAAAAAUAGUUUUAAUUAAUUCCUAAAAACAAAAAAGAAACCGCAUUAACGUAAAAUACCAGUAGAAAACCCUAACUUAAUCAAUUAAAAGAAAUUUAAAAUCCAACGUUUAAUUGAUUCCAAUUUCUCCGGAAUUGUCUUCAAACUUUUAAUAAAAACAAUUCUAAGAAAAUUAACUAUCCAAAUGAAGUAAAAUCAAAGAAUUCGCCAAAAACAAAAAAAAAAAUUAAAUAGCUAAAAGAAAAAACGAGCAUAGAACAAAGAUUAUUUUUGGAAUAUUAUCCAUAAACUUACGAGUCAAGAAGUAAGUGACGGCAAAGAUAACCAUGGCCCACGUAACCGUCCGGAAUUUGGCUUCGUCGAUCAGAUCCUGUAUCGUCUCCAUCGGCUUCAUUUUCCAGCUUUUUCUUUUUCUUUUGAUUUUUCUCCCUCCGAUUCUUUUUCCUAAUCUUGGAAUUUCAGAAUUAUCAAGUCUUUCUUAACAUGGAAGACAAUUAAUCGCCGGAGACGAAACAAAAGAGUUUUUUCUCUUAUUCUUCUAUGUGUUGUUCGACCAGCUUCCGCGUCAGCGGUGUUAAUUUGGGAUUAAAAAGACAAGAAAGUAAUAACAGAGGGGAAAAGAGAGUAUCUGGAAUUUCUUGGUUUUUUUUUUUUAAAUAAAAUUGGUCUUAAUAGACAGCAACAAAAUGCGUCGCAAAAGGAAAGAAGGAUAAAUAUUUUGGACAUGAUCUCGUGCAGAAACUGGGCGUUGGAGUUUCUUCGCCCGACUGGCAACUACCCUCUAAAUUCUUGCCACGUAAGAAAUUUGACAGGUUAUCUCCUGUAACAAUGGCAUACAAUUAAUUAAUUACACCUUACAGAUUAUUACAUUAAUUUUUAUUGUAAUUAAAAAUUAUUUUAUAAAAAAUUGCCAGUAAAAUACUUUGGAAUUUUAUGCUUCAUUAAAUAUUUUCGUGUAUCAUGCUUUUCACAUGGGUAAUGCUAUGGCUGUCAUAAAAAACUAAUAAUACUAAAAAAUAUAAGUGGAUAUGCAUUGCCUGACAGCAAUAACAUAGCACAUGUAAAAAUUAUAGUCGAUUAUGAAAUGUUAAAUGUUCUAUGAUUGCAUUUUAUAUUAUUAUAUCAAUUUAAAAAUUUUCUCAUUUUACGUUUAGGUUAUGAACUUGAAAAAAAAAAUUCAAACCCUAUUUACAUAAAAAAAAUUACAUAUUAAUUAAUAAAUCAAAUACUCAUAUACUAAAUUAUAAAUAACUUUUAACUGAUAACAACUUUUGUGAUAAGAAUAGAUUUUUUAUAACUCAUCUCUAAAGGGGAAGUCCAAAGAUUGUAGUGCACAUGAAAUGCUCGUUGGAUUUGGCCAAAGCGAUAUGUCUUGUGCUGGUAUCCCAUUUACUGUUACAUCAAAGUGUGAAAUUAUUUUCUCUUAAAGGAAUAACAAAAUAGAAUAGUUUUAUUAAUACUUGCAAAUAAUUAAACACAACAAUGUUAUUGUAUAGUGUUUUAAACUUUCCUAACGACUUUAAAUAUAUGUAAUCCGAUGUACAUUAAUGUGAUUAUAUAUGUUAAUUAAAUAAUUUCUUUGUGUUUUUCUCUAAUAUAAUUUCUUGGUGCACUUGUUAUGAAUUUAAAUUGUUUGUAAAGUUUAAAAAAUUUAUUAUUAAUGCACAAGAUAAAAAAAAUAAAUCAUAAAUCUUGAAUAUUAUUGUUCUCAACUAAUUAUAAAAGAUAUGAAUAUUUAUUUUUUAUUUAGAAAAAAGAAAAAUUCAAAAUUUAUUAUUUUGAGAAAGGGAUUGUUUAUUAAUUACUGGGCCAUACGUUCGAGCCUUGGGAUUUACUCAUUUGCUUUGGGUCUAAAGGCCAUAUCAUGUUUGGGCUCGAGACUAGAAAUUAUGUUGCAAGCCCAGUCAGAAAUAAUCUUUUUCUUUUUUUUUUUAAGAUUUUUAUCAGAUUGACUAUUCUUUGCGGUAUUCUUUGCGGUGGAUGAAAAGACAACUUAUCCACGAAACAAGCAAUGAGAGGCCAAAAAGCCCAAUAAGUGCAAAAACAGUGGGCGCACCUGCUGCUGAAUCAUUCCCACUUUGCUAAUCAAGAACCAUCCAAUCCAACGGCCCUUAUUUUAAGAUCAAACCCAACCAAUACAAAUCCAACGGCCACGAUUCGCCUGUCACCCCAAUAAUAAGAAUAGUCAACCCAAAAUAUCCUAAUCCCCUUAAUAGCAAUAAAAUAUCGUGGAUCCUUAUCCAGUUCGGUCCACUAUUUAACCGCAUCGCCACAUAAUCAUCUUCUUGAUCUUGAGCAAAACAAGAUUUAGCGGAAAAGAAAGAAAACUCCGUGUUUUUGUGUCCGUUUGGUUGCGAUGAUAAAGUCGGUUCAACUCCGUACCUAUUCGUCUCCUAUCCUGGUCGAGGCUAAAGAUAUCCACCGUACUGGAUUAUCACCGUCGUCGAAAACGAGAUUCGCUUCGACGAUUCGUUGUUCCUCGAGCAGCGACGCUUACAUACCGAAGCUCGAGCCUUUUAGCAGAACAAAAUUCGAGCGUGCCGUUAAAGAGCCUCCCUUGAUCGAGAAAUCCGAGAACGAGCUCGCUGGUACGUAAUUAAUUUUAUAACAUUUUUAAACUUAGGUGAUAGUAUUUACUUCGUUAUUUUUAUUGAUUUCGGUGAAAUUUUGAAAUUUUCAGAUUAUUGUUCGACGCUUGAAGGAGACGAUUCUUAUAGUUGCUGGAGAGCUUAUUUCGAACUAAAAGAUCUUGAGGCAAGUUUUUUAGAUUUUAAAUUUAAGCAUUGCACCUGUUUGGAUGAUGAGAAAAUACAGAAAAAAAAAAAGAAAGAAGAAGAAAGAAAAUAAGUACGUAUUAGUUUAACUAGUAUAAAAUAAGUACGCGACAAUCAAUUAAACUCUUUUGUGAAGCUUAUAAAAUCCAUAAUAAUUCGCAAUAUUUGUAUCUUAGUGAUGAGAUUGUGGUAGUUUUAUUAGGAAGCUACCAUGGACAGCCCCUUUUUUUUAGUUUAAUUAAUUUCUGUUUGAAUUUUUAGUAAAUAAAUCAAAGCAAAAGAAAAAAAAAUCUUUUUUAAUGUCAUAAUUGUAAUUUCCAAUUUUAAUUUUUCUCCUUAAUGCAUAACAGAGAGAGACACCGAAAGAAGAUGUAGAGAAGUUAAUUCUUCAAGCAGGGGGCGUUAAGUCGUUGAUUGGAUGCUUACAUGGAAUUGCUGCCAUCCACAACAAGGGAAACGGCAACGGUUAUUUUAGUAUGUCUAAGCCAUUGAAUACUGAAAAUGAAGGAAAAAGAUUCUACCAUAUCCCAGAUGGGUUGCCGAAAUCUGCAGAGGAAAUAGAGGAGGAAGAGAGAGCUAGAAUGCCUGAUUCGCCCUUUACUAGAUUGCUUAGAACUAAAGGCACGUCGCCUGCUUGGUACUCUCCCGUCCCUGACCACGAAACCGAUUGAUACACGAAACCUUGUAAUUGAAUUAGCAUAUGGCUUCAUUGUAGAUAAAAGUGUGGGGGAGUUUUUUAAGAGUCAAUUUUCUUUUGUUUCUAGCAAAAAAGUUUUCCAGGGGCUGUGACUGUGAAGCUCUGAGCUGUGUGAUAUUGGAAAAUGGGAUUGCUUUGGAGAGUUGUAUCAUAGUGGCAAAAUGACUGUUAUUGUUGAAAGUUUGCUUGCAUUGCCAGAACAAUAUUGUUCAUUGCUCAUUUUUGUAUCUAUAGUCAAAAUUUUCUUUGCUUUCAUUCAUACAAAGUAUAUUUGUACUACUAGGGAUGGAUUUUAGACAUGUGGUUCCUUGCAUUUGUGAUUAACAAGUUAUAAGAGAAGUACAGCCAAGCUAACAAAAUAGGAGCAGAACUAGGAAAUUAAGCAAAUGAUUACAUGCUCUUCCCAACAUAACGUGUUUAGUUGCUUGUGCACUUAAACUAAGGGCAAAUUUUUCAUUUAACCUCAAGUCGCAGUAAUUUGAGUUGCAAUCCAAGUGGCAGUCAGAACCAGUGCAGUAAAAUUCUUCACAUUCUAGAACCACAGCAGGUUUUGAGACGAUUCUGUGUCACAUCCAAUUAUGUUGUGGCCAGUGGGGACAAACUAUUUUGGAUUGAAAAUCCCAGGUCUUCUUUUAUGUAGUUAAAUAGUGAGCAUGAAUCUUGUGAAGGUUGCUGCAGCUUACAUUCUGCAGACUUUACUGUGACUCUGUUGAUUAUGCAUUCUCCUCCAGUUAUCAGAACCGAGCAGUUGAAAGAAGGGGGAAAAUAACUAAACUAUUGUGUUUGACAAACAAGUAAAUUGCAAAUUAUCAGGAAUUUGUCACAUCAGAUGCCACAUUUAAGGUGCCAAAAUAUAGAAGCAAGAAUUUGAUGUUAUAAGAGGAAUAUAGAAUUACAGAUUAAUCUUGUUCACAACUAGAAGAUUUUCAUGUCCAGGUCCAGCCAUAAAGCUUACAAUCUGGCAGCAGAUAUGUGGCAAGGGGACUUGGUCAGUUGUUAGUUUUGAGCUCUGGUUUCAUUUAGCCUUCAUCCCGCGAACCAUGCAAUGCCCCUCCCUAAAAUUUGUGUCUAAAAUUAGAGGCAAGUCUAAAAUUUUGUGGUGUCCAGACGAACCCAACAAACUUUCCGGUGCUAAAACAGGAGCCAACUUCCAAUGACCUCUCAAUGUCUGCCAAACCAUACCUUCCUUCUCCCUCAAUAUAAUCCACCCCUCUUCAGAACCAUCUGCCUUCUAUAAGCAGCCUUGGGCCUACCAAGGUGGUCAGCAAUGGCUAAACCUCAAAGAUUGCAGGCCUUUGGCUGCUUUCUUUUCUUCUCUUUUCUUCUCUCUUCAUUAUCAACGUUCACUUUUGCAUUGUCUGACGCUGAAGCAUCCUAUAUUGCUCAUCGCCAGCUCCUAACCCUCCCUGAAAAUGGCGAACUUCCAGAGGAUUUUGAAUAUGAAGUCAAAAUAGUUGAAACUUUCGCCAAUCAAAGGCUCAAGAGGGCUUACAUUGCCCUUCAAGCCUGGAAAAAGGCUAUGUACUCUGAUCCAUUGAACACAACUGGCAACUGGGUUGGCCCCAAUGUGUGUGCCUACACCGGUGUCUUCUGUGCCCCGGCACUGGAUGACCCCAAGUUGAGUGUUGUAGCCGGCGUUGAUCUUAAUCAUGCUGACAUUGCUGGAUACCUUCCAGCAGAGUUGGGGCUUAUGACUGAUCUUGCAUUGUUCCACAUAAACUCUAACAGGUUUUGUGGAAUUAUACCUAAGAGCUUGUCUAAGCUUACGCUUAUGCAUGAGUUUGAUGUCAGCAACAACCGCUUUGUUGGUCCUUUCCCAGAAGUUGUUCUAUCAUGGCCAGGGCUCAAGUACCUUGAUGUCAGAUUCAAUGAUUUUGAAGGCAAAUUACCUUGUGGCAUUUUCGAAAAGGACCUGGAUGCGUUGUUCUUGAACAACAACAGGUUCACCUCCACCAUUCCCGAAACGAUUGGCAAAUCCACGGUGUCUGUUGUGACAUUUGCCAACAACAAAUUCAGCGGAUGCAUUCCACACAGCAUUGGCAAGAUGGCGAACCUGAAUGAGAUAACUUUCAUGAACAAUGACCUUGGUGGUUGCUUCCCAGCAGAAGUUGGGUUGCUUAGCAACAUGACUGUCUUUGAUGCUGGCCUCAACUCAUUUACAGGUAUCUUGCCACAAAGCUUUUCAGGCUUGAAGAAGGUUGAGCUCUUGGAUAUUUCCCACAACAAGCUGACAGGAAUUGUACCCGAGAAUGUCUGCAAGUUGUCGAGCUUGUCCAAUUUCACAUUCUCUUACAACUACUUCAAGGGAGAGGCCAAUGCUUGCAUUCCACCUUCAAGGAAGGACAUUGUGAUAGAUGACACCAGCAACUGUUUAGGUGGUAGGCCAAAGCAGAAGUCAGCCAAGGAAUGCUACCCAGUGGUGAGCCGCCCUGUGGACUGUAGCAAGGACAAGUGUGGUGGAGGCUCUUCACCUUCCAAACCACACCCUCCUAAGACACCAUCACCUUAUGAAUCCAGUCCAUCAAAGCCACAGCCAAAACCACCCGUCACAGCUCCUCCAACACCAAAGCCGAAACCAUCCACACCGGAGGAGCCACAUCGACGACCUCCGGUACAGGGGCACCCUAAACCACCAUCUUCAGCACCAGCACCGUCACCUGAUCCACAUGACCAAUCUCCAGUGACUCCUAUCAGGCCACCAGCACCUAAGAACCCAACUCGGGAGCCACCCCCAGCACCUAAGAACCCAACUCGGGAGCCACCCCCAGCACCUAAGAAGCCGACUCCCGAGUCACCAAAAUCACCAGCAGCACCGGAGAAUCCAACUCCCCAACCACCAAAAUCGUCACCAAUGCCUUCACCUGACCCACACGGUAAUUCUCCUGUUGGAGGGGUCCGCUCACCUCCACCACCAGUCUACUCACCACCCCCACCCGUGCACUCACCCCCGCCACCAGUCUAUUCACCACCGCCACCACCAGUCCAUUCUCCACCACCACCACCAGUUUAUUCUCCACCACCACCUCCACCUGUCUACUCACCACCCCCACCAGUUCACUCGCCACCUCCACCAGUCUACUCACCCCCACCACCACCACCUGUCUAUUCACCAUCACCACCACCACCAGUCCAUUCACCACCACCUCCUGUCUACUCCCCACCACCACCAGUCUACUCCCCUCCACCACCUGCCCAUUCACCACCACCACCACCCGUCUACUCUCCACCACCACCACCACCACCCGUCCACUCUCCACCUCCACCGCUUUACUCACCACCACCACCUGUACGAUCCCCACCUCCACCGCUUUACUCACCACCACCACCACCAGUUCCAACUCCAUCUCUUCCUCCUCCUCCUGUUGCUUCUGCACCGCCACCUACCGAGGAAUUUGUUCUCCCACCAAACUUGGGAUUCCAGUACUCCUCGCCACCUCCACCAAUGUUCCCAGGCUACUAAAUAGUAUAGCCUUAAAACAUCUUUAUAUUGUAUAUUCACCCUUUUGGCUAUAAAAAUGAAAAAAGAAAAAAAGAGGCUAAAGUACACAGGCAUUUUGUUAGCUUGACUUCUCAAUGGAUUUGCAAUUUCCAUUAAGUAGAGAAGUUCCUUAUAUGCAUAUGAAUCUCCAUUACAUCUGAUUUAGUUUCCUCCGUUCCCUUAAUCUGUCUCUUUUUCAUUUUUUUUCCCUUUUUGGUUGCUACAAAAUCAAGGUGCCAAUUAGAGUUUAAGCGUAAUUAUUUAGUGCAUUUAUUUUUGUUGAAUUCGUCAUUUCAUAUAGGCAUAUCUGCAUGACAUUGAAAAAAGAAAACAUUCCAAAUAAUCAUAUACUUUCUCAUAUUUUUGAAAUGUCACACAGCUUUAAACAAAUGAUAAAUACACACCAAUGCCUUAACUCUGUUAUGUUAUUAAGAAUUAUAAAUCAACAAUAGAAUAAUAAUGAAAUAAUAAACAAGAACAAUUGUUGCAGCCUGUGAUGUUCAUGUUUAGGCUCAGCCAAUUUCAGUUAUGUCAUGAAACAUGACGUGAAGCCAAAAGUUUCACCAUUUUUAUUGCUUUUUCUUCAUUUUAUUGUGAUUUUAUAACUUUUAAAUACAAGACAUGUAGCUUUACAAUAUAAUUGGUUCUAAUCUCCCUGUCUCCAAAGUGAAACCAAAAGGACCAAAAAGUUCUAGUUACAAAGACUUGAUCAUUUGCGCUACCUUAUCCAUGGAAGGCCUAUCUUGUGGAUUGCGUGACAGGCAAAGCCUGGCAAUUUCAAUCAUUCCGACCAUGUUCUCCUUCACUUCUCCCAAUUUCUCAUCGCAUAUACUAGUCAGUCCUUCUUUCCUUUUCUUUUCUUUUAUGUACGCUCCCAGGUUGGUCACUGAAGGCCUCUUCCCAGUAAUUAGCUCUAGUAGCAGUAUUCCAAAGCUGUAAACAUCAGACUUCUGUGUAAACAUUUUUGGAAGAUUCUUCAGUUCAGGCGCCACACGGCCAGAAUUUCUUUUGAUCAUCUUUUCCGGAGGUACUAGGUAAGGUGUUUCGUAGCUCGAAAGACAUGCAGAAAAAUCCAUUCGAAUCAAGAUGUUCGAAGCCUUAAUCACCCCACAAACAAGAGCUUCACCAUUUGGAGUUACUCGGCUAUGAAUUGAGGCAACUGCCUGUGCUGCACACAAUGCUAUCUGUUUCCUAAUUCCCCAGUUUAAUGGAGUGAACUGAAUCCCUUCGCUGCCUGCAUAUUUGCAAAUGAUAGAAAAGUUAAUUAGAGCUCUAACAUCAUCUAUAUCUAUAAGCUGCCAAAAGCAUCAGAGUUUCUACUCCAAGAAUUCGACAGAAUAUGUGUUAGAGUUGCAAUUAACAGUUCGACAAGUUAGUUUAAUCAGGUUCAAUCAGAAAUAUACCCCAGAAAAUGGAUAUGAAAAUUAGGUUAAGAUAUAGGAAGAAAUCGUAGCUUACCAUGUAAAAGCUCCUCCAAACUCCCCAGGAUCACAUACUCAUACAGAAUAAAAGCCUCUCCUCCAUACCAAAAACUAAAAUGUAUUGGUAAGAGCCAAGCAUCCCGGAUUCCUCCAAAGAAGUUAAUCCACAAGUCAAGACUAACGGCAUCCGUGAUCAGCCCUUCUCUGAUCUUUCGGAUUGUGACAAUUGAACCACAUUUAAGAACAACCUUAAACAAAGUCCCCAGGGUACCUUCACCAAGCCUAUUUUUUGGAAUCUGAGCCAGUUCUGGUGGAUCAUAUUUCUUGGCAACUGUUAUGUCCCCAAAUAUUACCUCCAUAGGAAGUGUCACCUUAACUUCCAACAAUGAAACUGGGGUUGUAGUUGUCACUUUUCCAUCACUGGAUUUAGGCUUCUUUUUCCUAGCCCAUAUCAAAACAAGAAAGGCAUAGAUAAGUGCAAGUACGAUGCUCACACAAACCAACACUACUCGGAUAUGAUGUCCCAACAUUCAGAAUGGAUCAACAGAAACCUCCUGGUGCUGCUCUAUCAGGGAACCUGGCAGACUUAAGAUUUUCAGUUUUUGCCUUCAUGAAAUGUUAAAGAAUAGUAGUAGCAUAAUUUUUUCCCCUGUUUUCACUUUUGUAUUUUUUAGCUUGUAGUGGUUCAUAGUUUAUUCCACCAUGGUCCUUGGGAUGACCAGUCAGCCACACCGGACCCUUUCACUGCCUUGUGUACGUAGGAAAUUCAUUUUCAAACUUCUGAUAGAACAAAAAUUGCAUAGAGACAAAAGGGUCUUGAUUAAAUGUAGUAGUAAACAGAUUAAAACUUGGUCAAUUUAAAAAAUGCAAGAAAGUACCCAUCAAUCAGGAUCAUUAAUUUUCUUAGCAUGCAUUAGUUGAUGAUUAGUGAUCAAUCAACUAGCUGCUGAAUCAAAUGCAAUUAUGUAUUUCAAACACCUUAUAAACUUUGACAUUGGCGGUCAAGAGGACUUUAUUAGGUUCAAAAGUGGAAAACUAACAAUGGGUCGACAACGGGAAUAGGUUUGGUCCGUUUGGAAAGAGCCAGAAGGGGAAGAUUGGCCCAAUCAACACAAAACGCAGGCGUUUAAUUUGCUUAAUUUUUAGAGAUACGGCAUCGUUUUAAAGUUGAUUGCCUUCAAACGCACGUUGAGUCACGGUUUCGUGGUCCAUUUUCGACUGAAAACAGCCGCUAUCCUCAACAACUUGAAGCUCCAGCAUCCUUGUGCAGAUCUCAUUCAAUCUCUUCUCUGUUAUUAAAAUCACAAGAAAAUCGAAGCCAAAAGCAGAACUUUUGUUUUUUUGAGACUUACGUCACUAAUUUCUUCUGCAUUUUUUGGUACAAAAACAAAGAAAAGAAAUGGAAGAUACCAAGAACCCACCACCACAACAAAUGGAAGAUAAAGAAAAAAGAGAAUCUGCAGGAAAAAAAGAAGAACCCAAGAAGGAGGAGCAACGAUCAGCAUCAACUACGACAGCAAAGAGUGGAGGAGGAUGGGGUGGUUGGGGUUUCUCUGCUUUCUCUGUUCUCUCGGAUCUUCAACAAGCUGCCACUGUUGCCGCUGAGGAGAUCAGUCGCAAUGUAAGCUUCAUUUUAUCUCUCUACGUAUUCGUUUAUAUAUAUAAUACUAUCAAAUUAUGGGAUUAACAGUUUUUCCGUUUUGUUUUUGGUAUUCGAAUUAAAGUUUGUUUUUUGAAUUAUGUUUGGAAAUGUGGGUAUUCAGAUCUUGGAGUGAAAUUGGUUGUUUUUGGGGGUUUUUUUUUUCGAAUUGCCAUUUUGAAUAAAGAGUCUUUUUGGUUGUUUAAUUUCGUAGCUUUUUGAUACUGUGAAUUGUGGAAGCCUUAUUCAGUAUUGCUUUUAGUAGAGAAGUUUUAUUUUGUUGAAUUAAACCUUCCUCUUUGUUAGUGGAAUAAAUUUGUGUUUGAUAUGUGAAGCAUUAGAAAUGUGCCAUUGUUCAAGGACCUUAUCUUGUGUGAAAAUUCAGAGGCGAGGUGUUGAGUUUAUAAAUAGUGAAGGUUGUCAUUUACACUUCAGAAAGGAUAAACUGAUAAUUUUUUAUAAGAAUUAUGCGCAAUAGCUUAUCAUGUAAUGGUGAUAUCAUGCUGUUUUCAAUUUUAUUAAGCAGUGCUUUCUUGAUGCAGGCUUCUGUGGUUGCAGAAAAGGCUGCCAAGAGCCUGGCAGAUAUGCAACUUGCUGAAGACUCAGAAUCUUCUAAGGAGGAAGAAGCAGAGGAAUCUCCAAUUGAAAAGGAAGGUGAAGAUGAAAAUGACAAACUACGAAAGUCUGCUCUGGAUAAGUUAGAGAAAGCCAGUGACGAUUCUUUCCUUGGCCAGGCAAGUCUUUUUUAUCCAUUUUGAUAUUUGAAAUUAUGUGUACUAGCACUUGGUGCAGAAAUCUGGGAUGAUGGUAGUCCUGCAGCUUUUGCUUUUUCAUUUGUGUUCGAAACUCUGUCCUUUUUUCUGCAGACACACCAGAGUGCACUGACAGUCAUAUUAUAGCGUUACGAUGGAUCAGAAUCAAUAUUUGGUUUUUGAUAUUGAUCAAUCAGAAUCAAUAUUUUUGUUUUUGAUAUUGGUUGAGCAUCAUCUUAUGUCCUACUUGCAAUGUUUGCAGGGUUUGAAGGUUUUUGACAACUCUGUGGAGAAUUUGGCUUCUGGUGCAUGGCAAGCACUAGGGAGUGCAUGGAAAGGGGGUACCAAUCUUGUUCAGAAGUAUGUUUCAUUGCAUUUCAAUGUAUCGUUUUCCUUUCCAAUUGUGAUUAGUUGCACCAGAGCCGAAGAUUGAUUGUUCAAAUCGCAAGCUAGAGAGAGUUUGAUUUUCAAAUAAUUAGUUGAUUCCCAGGAACUAACGAGCACAAAAUAAAAAACGAAUGGGUUGAUGCUUAUUAAUUGCUAUGCAUCUUCAAAAUUUUCAGAACUCAUUCAAUAUGAAUAUCUUUAAUUUCUAAAGCAAUGGGUUCAGGGUUCUAUCAUCAUGGAAUAUUUGCAGUAUAUUGGAUUUUCCCCCUCUGUGAAGCCGUGACUAUGUUCAGGACAUCAACCAGCUCUAACACUGAGCUACUGAGGAACAACAGGAGACUAGACACCCCCAUGCGCCUUCUGUAGGGAGGCUGCACACUGAAAAAAAAAACAAAAACAAAAAAGUGAAAAAUGAUGGUAAAAAAAUCUUCACUUUUGAGAAUAAUGAAAAAUGGAAAGUGUUCAAUUGGAACUGCCAAGAUGAGAAUUAGGAAGGAUUGGUUAACAAGUGCAUGUACAUCACACCUCCUACAGUAGUUGCCAAAGCUCCAAGUGAAAUUUAGUAGGGCUCAUUUUUCAAUAUAAAAAACAGGGAAGUUGGCUGUAGUUGAGUCACAUUUUUUGGACAGGAUAUGGAUUUUUUCAUCUAUGGUCCGUAUGAGACUUUUUGAGUAGUAUUUUCCUGGUAUCUAGGAUAUUUAAAGUUUGUUUUUGGGUGGAUGCAUACUUCUAGAAAUGAGGAUUUUAAUGCUAAGAUUAACAACAGAGUAACCUAGGCUGCUUGGUUUUGUGUCAUCAUUUUAUAAUUUACCUUUAUUUUCUCCUUGUUGUAGUACAAUUCUACAAUUAUUGUCAUGAAACUCAAGAACUGAAUACACUUGAACAUUUUUCCGCUAAUAAGUUUUUCUCUCUUUUAUUGUCUAGGCUUGAGCAUUCUGCUGCAAACAUUGCAGAUUCUAUUCAGCAUGGAGGUUUACCCACUGGUUCAGUUGCACCAUCAUUAAUUGAGGUUUGUGCAGGCCUUGUUUUCUGGCUUAUUAGUGUUGCAAUGAUCUCUUAUUUCUCAUUUUUAUUUGGCAGACUGGAAAAGCUUUUACAACAAAGGGAAUGCAAGUGCUUGAAUAUGUGGGAAAGGAGACUAUGGAUUUACUAAUCACUGAAACUGGUAUCGAAGUUGAAAAGAACCCUAAGGGCACUGAACAGCCAUCUGAUGAGGAUCAGUUAUUUGAGGAAGUCAGUUUUGAUCGAUGCUUCUAUAUAUAUGGAGGUCCAGAGCAGUUGGAGGUUAACUUCUUAUUCUUGAAGUUGAGUUGGAUUAUUGAAAUGAUUAUAUCUUUCAAAUUGCUGAACUGUAAUGCUGUCAGGAACUGGAAGCAUUGUCCAGCCAUUAUGCCCUUCUAUUCAAUCGAAGAAAAGCAAAGUUACCAUCAGAACAGAAAUCUGUGUAUGAGGGAAAGCUUAAACAAAUCCAGCAAAUUUUCAGUUUGGAUGCUGAAAUGGAGGGGAAUGGUCCAGAGUUGGCCAAAGGAAAGAAAAUAGAGACUGGAACUGAGGGCAGUCAGGAUGAGAUGAAAAAUUUGCAUGAUUCAAGUGUCAGCAAGGCUGCUGAUAUGGCUGCUGGGUAAUUUGCUAAACAUAGUUUUUUUCUCGUUUACCUCACUCAGAAAAUUCUGCACCAAGGUAUUACUGGGUAUAGAAUAUGGUUUUCUGAAUGUCUGCACUACUUAUAGGUAUCUUCUAUUAUGGCUUUCAUUCAGGAGCUCAUCCAGUUCUAAUUAUCAAAGUUGAAUUUCCUUUAACUGAGUUGAUUUUGUAUCCAUAUUGUUCAGUAGCCUCCUCUUGAUAACUACUCCAUUUUCAUCUUUUCAACUCUAAAUAUUGCACAUGCUUUGAAAUAGAUAAAAAAUGGAUUUUCGCCUAAGAUUGUUUAAAUUAUAUGCAUGGUGACAAGUGUGUAGGGUUUCUUGAUGUAGUAUGAAUCAGAUGGACAUGCAGCAAAAAAUAUUGCUCGCGAUCAACGAUUUUUAACACAUUUUAUAGUGUUAUUUAUAGUCUUUUUUUUUUUUUUCCAGAUAAGCAUAAUAUUAAUUAUAAUUGAUACUUCUUGGUUGUUAAUAGUUCCAAAACAUUUUCAGGUUCACAAAUGCAUUGUCAGGAUUAGCUGUUAAUGAUAUAAUUCAAAGAACUGCUGGAAGGCUAGAGUCGCUGCACUCAGAGGGGGUUCAUGUAUUGAGAUAUUUUUGAAUUAUUUUUAACAUUUUGACAAUUAUUUUAGGACAUGAUCUUUAUUGUUGGUUCCUUGGUGAAUUUAAAAUGACUAUGCAUGUCUUUGCAGAGGCUUUCGGAAAUGUGCUGUUUUGCAGUGUCUCAGCUCCUGAUGCUGGGUAAAUCUAUCAUAUCUAGUGCUAACAAAGUUCAAGAUGAAGAUGCUGAUGGCGAUAUGCUAAAUAUCGACUGGCCUGAGGAUUCCAUUGAAAAAGCUAAAUUAAUCAGAGUAAAGGCACAAUCAAUGAUAGGAUAUGCGGAAGCUGUAUCCAGCAGCUUUAUCACAGGUUAUAUUUCUUGCCCCCCUGCGGCAGCAUGUACCUCUGUUAUCUUCUUAGAUCAGUUAUAUUUUUACAUGGUACAUGUGAGCACAGAUAGCUGAAGGUGGUUAUCUUUAAAUGUGUUUUUCAGGCAUAUCUGAUGUAGCUGAAGCUUAUCUAGCGGCCAUUAAGAGUGCUACUGUAGAUUCGCAUGAAGCACUUCCACAGGCAUCAAUCCAGGAGAAAGCUAAUGCCUUCUUCGAACAUCUCCACGGUGAUCAGACCACUGCAGUGAGUAAAAUCAAGGAUGGACUCCAAUAUUUGACUUAUGUAGUCCUUUCAACCACAAUGCCAGCCGCUUGAAAACACGAAUUCUCUACGUGUCUUGUUAGUUUCCAUGUAAAUAGUUGCAUUUUAGACCAGUUUAACCCCCAGUCUCUCUUUGAACUUUUUAUGCUACACCAUUGAAACUGAGCUCAUUUUAAUUCAGGGGUUAAGGCAGUUUCUUUUGUGUAGAGUUCUUGGUGUUAAACAGUCUAUUUCCACAUAAAGGAUCAAAAGAAAUUCAAAUAUCAUAUUCUUUCUACGGAUUUGAGAGAUCUAGAUUCAUGAGGUUUCAGAAAUUUUCUUGGCCUUGAUUCUAUGUUUAGCAUUCUGGAAAAUCGCGAGAGGCGAAGCUUGUACACUGUACCGAGCUGUGCCUUCGAAGAAGUUCUAGAAAACUUGUGUAUUUCUUCACACGAAAGUUUACUAAAACAGUGGACAGGCACAAUACAGAGACUGAAUGGGGAAGGCUUUUAUCUCUUUCUUUUUAUAAUGGUAUUUGUUCUCUAUAUACAGUAGUAAUACAGGAAAGUAGAAACAGAGUGAUCUAAUAUAAUGCAACCAGGAAGCCCUGCAAUCCCAGUUUGGCAAACAUAGCAAAACCUUCCAAAAUAGACCCCACUGCACAAGAUUUGUUUUUUUCAGAGAAACUGUCCAUGUUCAAUGUAUGUAAAGAAAGUAAAAAAACCAUAAUCACAUAAAAAGGAUAUGACAGUGUAACCACUGUCUUUUGUCUCGCAGUGAUUUACCGUUAUCUAGCAAGUAGCUACCGUACUCUCAAGAGAGCCAUGGGAGAAGUUGAUCCAGCUUUCAUCCAAGCCACCGAACACAGACCCAAACUCAAUACCAUCCAAAUCGAGGGAAUCCCACUUAUUGAUCUUUCCGUAUCUGACACUAGAGACCUCAAACAACUUGUUUCGGAGAUUGGAAACGCAUGCAAAAAGUGGGGAUUUUUUCAAGUGAUCAAUCAUGGGGUGCCUUUGGAAUUAUGCACAAGGAUUAAGGAGGCGGCGAAAACAUUCUUUGAUCGGCCCAUAGAGGAAAAGAUGAAGGUUAAACGAGAUGAAGUGAAUGCUAUGGGGUACCAUGAUAGCGAGCACACAAAGAACGUUAGAGACUGGAAGGAAGUCUUUGAUUUCUUGUUAGAAGAUCCAACUUUUGUCCCAGCUUCGCCUGAGCCUGAGGAUAAAGAAAUAAGGACGUUGACUAACCAGUGGCCUGAGAACCCUCCCGAGUUCAGGUAAUAUAAAUCUUGCCUUUGGGAUUUUUGGUGGUCACUUCCAGAAAGCAUAGGUCUAUCAUUUCACUUUUCAUAUGUUUAUAGGAUUAGCAAAUAAAGAUGAGCAAACUUAUGACUGUUUGAUAGAUACGAGAAUUAGAGAUGAGCCGAUGACAGAUGCCUAUAAGAAUGACUUCAGCUUACAACUUCGGGAUACCACAAAAGCAUGAGUUAAAAGGGGAAAGAAAAUGGUGCAAAUUACUAAUGCCAUAUGCCUAUAGUUCCUGAUGUUGACUGUUGGUUUAAAAUGACCAUGUUUUAGCAAAGAUUUUUAAUUUUUUUUUUAGCAAUUGAUUUGGUGAUUUGUCAUGUCAAAGUUCUGGGGUAUCAAAAUCACCAUAAUUUGACUGAAUUGAUUCACAGCAACUUUUUCUAAUCAAGAAUUAAUCUGGCACUUGGUUUCAUACAAGGAUUGUUAAUGUUGGCUAGGGAGGUGUGCCAGGAGUAUGCUCGAGAGGUGGAAAAGCUAGGUUACAAGCUGUUGGAACUCAUCUCCUUAAGCUUAGGCUUGCCGGCUAACCGGUUGAGUGGCUACUUUAAAGACCAUACAGGCAUGCUAAGACUUAACUAUUAUCCUUCUUGCCCUUGCCCUGACCUAGCACUUGGUGUUGGUCGACACAAGGAUGCUAGUGCCUUAACUGUCCUUUCUCAAGAUGAUGUUGGAGGACUACAAGUAAAGAGAAAAACUGAUGGAGAGUGGAUUCCUGUUAAGCCAAUCCCAAAUGCCUUCAUCAUCAAUGUUGGUGAUACUGUUCAGGUACCAGGGAUUAAUUUUGGCUAAUUAGUCAAGUUCUUGCAACUAUUCAAUUUUUUUUCUUUUUUGUUUAUUCUUUUCAAUAUUUCGAAUGGUUGUAGUCCCAACAGGUUAAUUAGAGUAGGCCAUCCCUCAAAUAGAUGUGAAGGCCAUAAGGGUAAAAGCUCAUUAUUUGUCAGUAGUUUGUACCAUUAGCUAACACGCUGCCCUUUUGCAGGUCUGGAGUAAUGAACUUUAUGAGAGUGUGGAGCACAGGGUGGUGGUGAACUCUGAAAAGGAAAGGUUUUCAGUUCCAUGCUUCUUUUUCCCUUGUCACUCUGUCAUGGUGAAGCCACUGGAGGAGUUAGUCAAUGAGCAAAAUCCAGCAAAGUAUAAAGAAUACAGCUUUGGAAAGUUUUUUGUUGCUAGAAACCGCAGUGAUUACAAGAAGCUUGAGGUUGAAAACAUUCAAAUUCAUAAAUUUAAGAUAUCUAAUUAAGUUGCUGAUGUAUAUACAAACCUGCUAAUAAAGCACUAGAUUCGGCUUGUUGUAAUUUAUCAUGCUAUGGAACCUUGAUAUCAGAAUAAAAAUAUUUCUUCUCAACCCAAGAUUACUUUCAUGUUGUGUAAUCCAGGCUUCCAUGGAUGACUCUGUGUGUUCAACUUGAAUGCUAACAUUACUAAUACAUUAGAUAAAACUGCAUGGGAACCACCGAAUUUGGGAGAGUUCCUUGCCAUAUAGACUUCUUUCUGAAUAUGAAUAUAUAUAUAUAUAUAUAUUUGAAAAUUCAUAGUAUAUUGAAUGCAACAAGAAGAUUCAUGUCUGUUACUUUCUGAAAUUGAGAAUAACAGCGCAGAAUCAUCUCCAAAAGUAUCUCCUACAGGACUAUACAAUAGAUCAGGUACUGUAAGAAACGUGUACGCAAAAACAAUACCCAGCAACCCCCCUGCAACAUGAGGCAUUCAUCUCACCUCCAUUCCCCAAUUACAAAAAAUCACACAGUUCAACCAAUUUACAAGGCAUAAACUUGCCCAACAUUCAGAACACAGAAAUAAAAGCAGGAAGGCUGCUUUUGGCCAAUUGCAAAGAUCAUCCAGCAUGAAACUUCCACAAGGCACACAUCCAAUCUCUCAACCAUACAAGUUCAGUGAUUCAGCAAAUUUAACCUUGGUAACACCCAGGGGCAGAGUCAAAAUUUUUUCUUAAUGGUGUUAUAACUAAAACAAUAAUAAUUAAAUUUUUUUUCUCAAUUCAUGAUCUAUUGAGAAAGUACUUGAUCAAAUUCAACACAAUCUAACUUAGAACAUUAUUAAGUACCAUCAGUAGUAGAAACUUAGAUCAAACUCAUUACGACUUUACUUAGAACAUUGUUGAGUACCAUCAUUAAUAGAAUUAUGUUGUUGUUUAGGACUUAAGUCUUGUGAGAUAAUUUAUUAUAUUUUAAAACAUCUUUUCAUGAUUUAUUUAUCUUUACAAAAUUGUAAAAACAUUAAUAGGUUCAUUAAUGUCAUUAAUUACAUAAAAAUCUAGAUUAAUAGUAUACUUAAUAUAUAUUUUUAGUAAUUGAGUGUUGUCAGAGUAGUAGAUUUUUAACAAUUGAUUAUAAAGUGUCAUCGAGCCUAAAAAGAACAAAGAGAACAUACCAGACUCACUCCUGCACUCAAAAAAAAGGCCUCUGCUCUUGAAACCCCUUAACCCUCUGCCACGCAUGGAUCCAUGUCAAUGGGUAGGGCACUCAUUAAUUUUGAGAUAUCCGAAACCGAAUUUUAUUAAGUUUUAAAAAAUCCGAAUCUUAUAAUUAUUCAGAUAUUUAUGAAAUUUGUUACCCUAAUUUGAACUUGAAUACAUAAUCACUAUCCGAUAAUUAUCCAAAUUCAUUUAAAAACCUGAUUAAAAAAUUUUAUUAAACUCUUUAUGGAUAUUUAAUUUCCCAAACCCAAAUCCAAACUCGUAUUCGUAUACAAUUAAAUUAUAUUUCACAAUUCACAUCUGUAUUUCAUACAAUUCACUAAUAAUUAAAUUUUAAAAAACAAACAAACAAUAAAAUUACAAGUUUACAACAAUCAUUAUUUAAUUUAAAUUUAUAAAAGCAAACAAACAAUAAUUAUAUUCUAAUCUCACAAACAAACUUUCUUUAGAUAUAUAUAUUAUAAGUUUAUGUAAAUAAAAGUAUAUAUAUUUAUAAUUUUAUAAUUUUAUAAGUUAUAAUUUUUGUAACGUUAAUACAAAAUACAAAGUAAGUAUAUUUAUGUUUAAAGUAUAAAUAUAAUGAUAAUUAUAUUAUUUAUAAAUUAAAACAAUAUAUAGAGUAUAUAUUUUAAAGACAUUACAAGCUGAUAAAUAAUCAUUCUUUCAUGAAUUAAUUUAAUUAAAUUUACAGGUUUAUCCUUAAUUACAUAAAAUUAAAAAAAAUAAAUUACAAAAUUACUUUAAUCUUACAAACUCUUUUUAAGUAUAUAUAUUAUGAUAAGUUUAUAUAAACAAAGAUAUAUAUACUAUAACUAAUAAUGUUAUAAGUUAUAACUUCAGCUAAACUUGCAUCUCCCACACCUAUAGCCCUUGAGAAAAUGACUUUCACCAGUCCAUUAUGAUGCUCAUUACUCCCCCAAUUCCGGUCCGGGGCAGCCAUUGGCUGCUCCAUUAAUGUCAAAUUUCAUCUGACCUUGGCGUGGAGUAUUCCAUUCGUCAACAAACCUAAUGCUCUUCGCUCUGUUUAGCACUUUGCUGAUGUUUGGGUUUCGGUACGUGUCCAGCGCCACUCCAAACCCUCGAGGUCAUUUCACCUUUCGCCCAUGUACUAACUCCUAACUUCCGUAGCUCGAACAGUCGGUUCUCGUUCCUGAAUAUGAAUAAAUACUUUCAUUACUUGAAUGGUUCAAUGAAAAAUGUUUUUAUUUUUUAUUUUAAAGAGUCAAAUUUAAUUCCUUUUUAGGGAUUAAAAGGAAAACAAGUUUUCAAAGGUAGGUAAGUAAAAUUUUAUUAAAUAUAUCAUGGUGGUUUAGACUAUGUACUUCCUCACGCCACGACACCCCUUAUCACCUAUUCACCUACCCCAAACCAAUUUUGUUUUAUUAAUCAGGAAAAUUGUCCACGUUCAAUGUAUAUAAAACGAGACAGGAUAAAGUUGCGGAACACUGGACUUUGUUGCAGAAAAUUGAGAUAGGCUGCAACUCUGUCAAUUGUCUAACUACCAGCUCUGGUAAGGUAUCACCAUGGGAGAGAUUGAUCCAGCUUUCAUCCAGGAACCUGAACACAGACCAAAACUAAGAAGCAUCGAAGUCAAUGAAAUCCCAGUAAUCGACCUGUCUGUUUAUAACACUGGAGACACCAAACAAAUUGCUUCAGAGAUUGGAAAUGCUUGCAAAAAAUGGGGAUUUUUUCAGGUGAUCAAUCAUGGGGUGCCCUUGGAACUGCGCUGCAGGGUUGAGAAGGUGGCUAAAGCGUUCUUUGAUCUGCCCAUAGAGGAAAAGAGAAAGGUUAAACGAGAUGAAUUGAAUUUUACGGGGUACCAUGAUGAGGAGCAUACCAAGAAUGUCAGAGACUGGAAGGAGGUCUUUGAUAUGUUGAUCCAGGACCCAACGCUGCUCCCAGCAUCGCCAGAGCCUGAUGAUGAGGAAAUAACGACGUAUACUAACAGGUGGCCUGAGUAUCCCCCUGAGUUUAGGUAAAGAAACUGACCUUCAAAAGCAAAGAGUUUAAAUUUUGCUCAGACUAUGCAUACUUAAUUGUCUUUGAUAGAAUUUCAGAUGAGAGUUUUCACAUGGAAAGUUAGCAUUAGGGCUCACUUAGGAUCAAUAUGGACAUGGUAUAUGUUUGACAAGAACCGAGUAAGUCUUGAAUUUGGCAUACACUCAGGACACCAGAAAACCCAAAAACCAUAAAGGAGGAAGAAAAUAGUUCAGAUCAUAGAGAUGCCAUGCCUGUAUUCUUUAAAAUGGAGUCAUAAUGGGUUUAAUUAAUUUGGGUUUUGCACGUAGUUUUUUUUUCUUAAAAUUUCAGUGUAUAGUAGAAGCAGAGGAAACAUUCACCUCUGGAAAAGCAUACAAGAAGAUUUUGUCCUGACACGCUCUAGAUACGAGUAUAACAGUUCAAAAUCAACCUAUAGAAGAUUCCUCUGGUGAUUCAAUACAAAAAGUCUGGAGAUCCCUGGUUGUCCUAAGCAUCUGCAUAGGGUCGCCUUGACAAAAACAAAACCUUUUGCCUGACCUUAUCAUUUACACAAAAAAUACAACAUUCCCCUACCCAGUAACCAGACAACACAUUUCCAGAAAGUAGAAUUAUAUACAUUCCCGCAUCCCAUCAAACAGUUUCAUCAUGCCCUGUACAUGCUCACCGCAGACACUACACAUUUUUUUUUGAAAAUUAACUGAUUUAUUAAUGAGGCCUGGGUAAGCAUUCCAGCCAGGCAUGGGACGAUUUUUAGCCUAUGAGUUUUGAUGUAAAACCCACUUGCAUAAAAACCUUCCCUUACAAAAAUGCUAGGGCUCUGUUACACAACAAAUCAGAGCAACAGCCUGCUAUACAAGUCCCAAAAAAACCCCCUGAUAUACAGUCUCGUAUAUUCUCACAUCCUAGCCCCUCCCAGAUUUACAGUCAAAUCUAGUUGUUAAUGACAAGAAAGUUUGCACAGCUAUAAACAUCAGUCAACAUGAUCAAAACAGAAUCAUAAAGACAAUCCUAUCCAGACCAAAGCAAAAACAAAAAUGGGUCAGACAUGCAUAGCUUUGAUGGAGCCUUUUUUCGUAUCUCAAAAAAUCAAACCUGUUUCCUUGCUCCAGAAAUCAGAGCUUUUCUUCAGUUCCACCCCACCCUCAACCGGCCUCAGUCAAAAAUAUUAAUUGAAUCCUCCUGUCUCUGAAUCCCCUCUUUUGCCAGGCAAUCUGCCACUUGUUUUUUUUUUCUAAAAAUGUGGUUACCCUCCCAUUUCUGAAUACUCUUUUUCAACCUUUCAAUGUGGAGAAUCCACUUCCUCAUUCUUCAUGGUGCUUCCCUUGGGUUGUUCACCCAUUUUACUGCAUUCUUAGAGUCGCUUUCAAUUAUCAACUCAUGUGUUGUAACCCAUUUAGAAACUGAAAAAAUCAAAAAGGCCUCUCUAAUUGCUCUAACCUCUGCUAAGCUUGCAUCCCCCAUUCCAAUAGCCUUGGAAAAUGUAAUUUUGAAGCUUCCAUUUUCGUCUCUUAGAACUCCUCCAAUCUCGGUCUCCCCUGGACUCCUUUUUGCAGCUCCAUCAACAUUAAAUUUCAUCUUUCCUUGGCUUGGCUUAACCCACUCCUCCACCUGCCUGCUAUUUGUUGUUUUAAUCAUUCUAGGCGCAAGUCUUGGGUUUCUGUAGAUGUCCAGCACAGCACUAUAGGCAUAAAGCCGCUUUGCUUUUGCCCAUGUAGCAACUCUCAGCUUACUAAUUUCAUAAACUUAUUCAACAUCCCAUACUUUUCCUCGGAAGACCAUGUCGUUUCUGUGAAGCCAUAGUGACCAAGCAGUGGCAUAAAACACUAGUUUCCAGAUUUUGGUUUCUCUUUUUUUAACAAUCACAUUAUUCCACAUAGAGAAGAAACUAAAAAUAUUAUUAGGAACAGCCCACUGGACCUCCCAAUCACCACUCCAUUUCAUCCAUAGGUUCCAUGAUUCAGGGCAAUGAAUAAAAAGAUGACUAACCGUUUCUUCUUGUUUAUGACAUAAAGCACACCUUGCUGCAUCGACGGAUAAAAGCCCUCUUCGAACCAGCUCAUGCUUGACAGUGACUCUUUCAUGAAGUAGCUGCCAACAGAAGACUUCAAUUCUAAAUGGUGCCAACUUUGUCUAAACCUCUUUCCAUCCUUCCCUGCUGCUGCCAUCAGAAUGCAUCAACUCUUUGCAAAAAGCUUUCACUGUGUAAUUACCCGAGGCAGACCUCUUCCACAGGAGCUUGUCCUCCAUCUCUUUGUUUAAAUGGUAUUCCUCCACUAUGGCUCUAAAUUGACUCCAUCGUUGUUCUUCCCAACCGAAAGGCAUUCUUCUAAGUUCAACAUCCCGUCUCCAUAGGUCAUGCUCCCAAUGCCCAAAUUCAUUGAUGCAACCAUUUUUAUUCCGAGCUAGAGCAUAAAUCCUUGGAAACCGAUCUUUGAGGUUAUCCCCCUCCAUCCAUCUGUCUAUCCAAAAUCUAAUAUUCUCACCAUUUCCAACAGCCUCUCAACCUGUAAAAAUUACUCACUAGUGGUAUAAAGGGGUUUAAUAAUAUUCUUCCUAGUGGUGGAACACAUCCUAUUUGUGUUUAUGUCUGGUAAGAGGCUGGUAGGAUCACUCCCAUUUUUCUCAACUAUCACUUUUCUCCACAAGCUACUUUUAUCGUUCCCCGUAUCUCCAUAUCCAUUUGUUAAGCAUCGCCCUAUUUUUAAUCUCUAAGUCUAUAAUCCCCAACCCUCCGUCUUCUGCAGACACUACACAUACACAUACCGUACAGAAAGCCUCCACCAUCAAGAGACAAACCUCAUCAUGGCCUUUGGGCACCUGUUCAUGAGUAAAACACAUCCAAUAGCAGAACAUACAUGCACUUACAUGUUUUUCCUGGACAUUGAUAAAGUCCUCAGUGCGUUGCACGCUGUUUUUGCGAGGCUAUCAGCCAACUGGUUAUUCUCUCUAAAGAUGUGUUUCAGCUCCCAGCUUUUGACAUCCUUUUUCUGUCUCUCUAUCUGGAGAAUCCACUUCCUUAACCUCCACAGGGCCCCAGUUGGCUGAUUCACCCACUUAACACCGUUUCUUGAAUUGCUUUCAAUGGUCAAGGUGUGGGAAUGGCCCCAAAUGGAUGCAAUGAACAGAAAAAAAAGCCUCCGUUAUGGCUCUCACCUCCGCUAGAUUUGAAUCUCCUAUCCCAAUUGCUUUCGAAAAAACAAUUUUGAUGUGGCCAUUUUCAUCCCUCAUCACCCCUCGAUCACAGCGUCGGGUUUUGCACUUAGUUUAUGCAAUUGUUUGUGUAUGUAGGGAGACAUGCCAGGAGUAUGCUCGAGAGGUGGAAAAACUAGCUUUCAAGUUGUUGGAACUCAUCUCUCUGAGCUUAGGCUCGCCUGCUAAUCGGUUGGGUGACUACUUCAAACACCAGACUGGUAUGCUGAGGCUUAAUUACUAUCCUCCUUGCCCUUCCCCUGAGCUAGCACUUGGAGUUGGUCGACAUAGGGAUGGAGGUGCCUUGACCGUCCUUGCUCAGGAUGACGUCGGAGGGUUACAGAUUAAGGAGCAGUCAAGUGGGGAGUGGAUUCCUGUUAAACCAAUACCAAAUGCCUAUAUCAUCAACAUUGCUGAUAGUCUUCAGGUACCAUGGUUUUUGGCAUUGUUAGACAAGUUCCUUAUGCUUAAAUAUACCUACCACCAAGGCACCCGAACAUUUGGCUUAAUCAUUGGCUUAUGAUCCCCUGCUAUUUUUUUAUGCCUGCAACGAAGAGCCUAACAAAUGAUGUUUUGCAGGUUUGGAGUAAUGAUCUUUAUGUGAGUGCAGAGCACAGAGUGGUGGUGAAUUCCGAAAGGGAAAGAUUUUCUAUUCCAUUCUUCUUCUUCCCUUCUCACUAUGUCACAGUGAAGCCUCUAGAGGAGCUAGUGAAUGAGCAAAAUCCAGCAAAGUAUGAAGAGUAUAACUGGGGAAAAUAUUAUGUCAAUAGAACCGGCAGUAACUAUAAGAAACUUGAAGCUGAAAACAUUCAAAUUCAUCAUUUCAAGAGGUCUGAUUGAUUGCCGCAGUAUCAGCUACUACCAGCACUUGUUUUCAUAUCAGCUCAUGGCAUAAUCAACAGAGACUUUGUAUCAUAUAUACACUAAAACAUCCUUUACUAUGUUUUAGCUACAAGACCCUAAGACUUAAAUUAAAUCAGCAAUCCUGCAGGGAGCAUCAUGGAUCAUUUUCAUAUUAUUUAAUGAAUCGAUGUCAUUUUAUGAAGGACUUGGAAGGAUUCUUAAUCCUUUCAUUUACGGGUUUCUUCUCAACCAAAUCCUCACUCAUUUGCAUUAAAACAUGAUUUGAUGAAUUAAAUUACUUUGGGAAUGAACAGAGACAAGAUUGUUGAGUGGAUCAGACAUCAUUUUAUUGUUUGUCUAAGAAACCAAACAAAGAAAAUAUUUGAUUUAUUGGUUGGUACAUAAUUCUCUUACUUAAAAAGUAGAGUUCGAAUUUCAUUUUUUCGAAUUAUAAAAACAAAAAACAAAAAAAAAAAACAAAGAAGUGAUACAAGCCAAGAGAUUGUGGAUGAAUUUCGGCAACCUGUCUAGUUUAGAUUCAGUACAAAAUUGAAUUUGAGACGUUACUUACCUAGCAUCUUUAGCCUGCCCCAUAAACCAUGUUAGUCCAUUUAAAAUGGGCAAAUAUGGCACGCCAACGACAAGUCAAUAGUGACAAAUACUUUUUUUUCUUCUCUUCUAAGUGGAUUAAUAUUAGUCCAAGAUGAACAAAUUUAACUAGGAUUAAGUCUACAUCAAGAUGUAUAUGAUUGUAAAAAGUUAUUUUUAAUUAAAGCAUUCAUUUUAAUAGAAUAUUAAAACUUGAUAAAAUUAUUUAAACUUUUUUGUAAUUUUAUUAACCUAAUUUUAAUCAAAAACUUCCACUGCAUUGAUUAUUGCCUAACAGGAAUCCAACAAUAUUCUCCUUCGGCCAAAAUGUCCAACCCCACUGUCCAUGCAGCUAGGCAAGCGCAAACGUCAGAGGCCACAACCUUCCCAAAUAGAGUUUUGCCAAUCUUGCCUUUGCCUAGUUGCCCUCCUAAUUUUUCAUCAAAAACUGUCCAGGUUCAAUCUCGGUUAAACUCCAACCUUGUACUAUAUAAAGAACCACUCCUCUGGCUGUCACUUCCCACUGACAAAACCAAUUCAAUUUUCCUUUUCACUUGAACACUUGAUAACAAGAAAACGCAAUGGGAGAAGUUGAUCCUGCUUUCAUCCAAGAGCUUGAACACAGGCCUAAACUCUCGAUCAUUGAAGCUGAAGGAAUACCCUUCAUUGAUCUUUCGAUGUUGAAUUCACCUGAUGCAGUAUCAGACCCUAGCACCCUUGACAGCCUUGUUUCUGAGAUAGGUAAUGCAUGCAAGAACUGGGGAUUUUUCCAAGUGAUCAACCAUGGGGUACCGUUGGAGCAACGCCGGAAACUUGAGAAGGCGUCCAGGAAAUUCUUUGCUCAACCAUGGGAAGAGAAGGUGAAGGUGAGGAGAGAUGAAGUGAAGGUUUUAGGUUAUUAUGACACUGAGCAUACCAAGAAUGUUAGAGAUUGGAAAGAGGUGUUUGAUUUUACUGUGCAAAAUCCUACUAUAGUCCCAGCUUCAACACACCCUGAUGACAAGGAAGUAGUUGAGUGGCACAAUCAAUGGCCUGAUUAUCCUCAUGAACUAAGGCAAUUUUAAUAAAAUUCCACCUUUUUCCCACUUGAUAUCUUCAUUAUUUUGUUUGUUUUUCAUUAAAUUCACCAAAUUUUAUACCUAGUAAGUUGAAAUUUUGUGGGGGUAAGAAGUUUCAACUAUGAAGCUCUAAUAGUUUUUGCAAUUUUAAUUUAUGUGACAGAGAGGCAUUUGAAGAAUAUGCAGAGGAAUUAGAAAAAUUAAGUUACAAGUUGAUGGAACUUAUUGCCUUGAGCUUAGGCUUGCCAGCGGAUAGGUUCCAUGGCUUCUUCAAGGACCAAACCAGCUUCAUCAGGCUUAACCACUAUUCACCUUGCCCUGCUCCUGACCUAGCUCUAGGCGUUGGCCGACACAAGGAUGCUGGUGCCUUGACCAUUCUUGCUCAAGAUGAUGUAGGAGGACUGCAAGUGAAGCGAAAAUCAGACGGAGAGUGGAUCCGCGUCAAGCCUACCCCGGAUGCUUUUAUCAUUAAUGUUGGUGACAUUAUUCAGGUAAUGUUUUGGAACUCAAGUUAACAUGGCCAAGUACAGAUAAUAUAAUUCUUUAGUUGUUAAUCAUAUAUAUGAACCAAGCAAAGAGCUCAAUGUCUGCACGGCGCACAAAAUAGCAAAUGUUGGAAAGUAUUUAGAGAAUUAGUUUCGGAACUUUUCAUGAUAGUAUUUGGCUGAUGGAUUGCUACUCCAAUAAGUAACCAUAUUAGAAAAUUAUGCAUCCAGGUUUUGCCUAACCACUUAACAACUAAUGUAUGAAAUUAUAUCUUGAAACUUGUAAGUUAUAAGCAGGGCUUAUAGCCUGUUGGUUCCAUGUAUGCACCUUGGAGGCCUAAUCUGAUGAGUGAUGGCUGUAAUUUUAAAUGGUUCUUUUUCAACUUCUGACCAGAGACGUACUCUGUAGUAAUAUAGAAAAUUAGUUGCGGCCUGGUCACUAAUUCAAAACGAAUGAGCAGGUUUGGAGCAAUGAGACUUAUGAGAGUGUAGAGCACAGGGUCAUGGUGAAUUCCGAGAGGGAAAGGUUUUCUAUUCCAUUCUUCUUCAAUCCGGCUCAUUACACCAUAGUGAUGCCCUCAGAGGAGCUGACAAGUGAGAAAAAUCCCCCCAGAUAUAGGCCGUACAAUUGGGGAAAAUUUCUCAUCACUAGAAAGGGAAGUAAUUUCAAGAAGCUUGACGUCAAAAACAUCCAAAUCCAGCACUUCAGGAUAUCAGAGUUAGCAGAUCAUCUAGAUGGAGCACUAUCUGUGAUAUAAUAAAAUGGAGCAUUAGCUAUUGACAGCAUAUGCAAGUUAGCAAUAAUAAUUUCAUCCUGUAAAUUUCAAGCUGUUAUUGCUGAGGAGAAGACUUUGAAUGCAUGGUGUGGUUAAUAUUUCUAUUAUGAACCAUUAUGAUUGACAGCAAUGAAACUUCUUUAUAAACAUAAGUAUUUCCACUAACUUUUGAUGAUUCUCAUAUAUUUUGUCAAAUUGAGAGUGAAAUGUUCACAUGAUCUCCUAUGAAUACUUAUCAAAUUGACAUUCAUCCACUUAGGCGACCACAACCUCUUUCUAUCAGGCAAAUAAUUUGGUUUCUCAGUCAAAUAUGGGUCCAUCAGCUCAAUUAUUUUCCCCCAGAUUUUUAACAGUGACAAAGUCUGAUAAUUGGAAUUAUUGGAAUGCUUGUAAAUUGAUGCUUCCAAUUACUACAUUAGGGUUUGCCUACGGUCCCUAGCUGAGCAUUGUUUCUUAACUGAUGUAAAAUAUGAGCCCAAAUUCAUAAAAUAGGCUGCGGACAACCCAUAAAGUAGAUAUCUCUGCUUAUAAAUUGAUGAGACAUAUGUGCAUAUCUUGGGGAAAUACAAAACCACAGAAAUUAAAAAGGACAAAAAAAAAAUGCAAAAGCAUAUUAUCUUAGUUUCACUGACGAUCUACCUUUCUUUUCUGGUGCUUGGAACUUCAUCAGAACCACGUCCUCAGCACUUUGUGUUAGCACGUGGGGCAUCCCAUGGUGACUGGUCGUGGUAAAAGCUGGUGCCACUUCUAAAAUCAGCUGGCCACAAUGUCACUGCCAUAGACUUGGCGGCAUCGGGGAUAGAUCCUCAGCAAGAGAAUACUCUCAGGUCGAUUUCUGAUUACAUCUAGCCACUGAGGGACGCCAUGGCAUCUUUACCCUUGGAAGAAAAGGUUAUCCUUGUUGUUCACAGCUUGGGUGGUUUGGCCAUCUCUCAAGCAAUGGAAAGGUUUCCUGAGAAGAUUUCUGUAGCCGUUUUUGUUGCUGCCAUAAUGCCUGGUCCGACCCUCAACAUCUCCACACUAAUUCAACAUGUUGGCGUUCAAUUUCUACCCAUUUACCUUUCCCCUAUUUCCCUUCUAAUUUUCGUAGUGACAGCAUAUAUACCAGUAUAUUAAGAACUUUCGAUUUAGCUAAAUCUAUGACUUCUCAUUAAAAGGGGUUUUGUUUAAAGCAUGGUGGUGACUGACUUACUGUUAACCUAGCUACCUGAGUAGCUAUAAUUAACGACCAUCAUCCAACCGUUUUAAUUUAUUGAACUUUUCUGUGUUUUUGUUGAGAAAGAUGUCCGGCGGGCACCAUUCAAUGGACAGUCGGUACAUAUAUGAUGAUGGCCCUGACAACCCUCCGACCGCCUCAAUUCCAGGUCCUUUGUUCCUUGCAGCAAGAACAUAUCAGCUUAGCCCACUUGAGGUAAGAAGAUUGCACUGUGCUUCAUUAUUUUUUUUAAAAAAUGUUUAUACCAAUACAUAUGAGGUAAACAUAUUAAAAUCUGAAAUAUCCAAGGACCACUAGAUUAUUAGAACCGCAUUUGCAAUCAUGCAAAUAAUUUUACUAACCAAGUUGGCUAAAAACUGUGACAGGAUUUGGUAUUGGCAACCAUGUUAGUGAGACCAAAUCGUUUAUUUAGCGUUAAUGACAAGUCAAGGGAACUAGUUCUAACGAGUGAGAAAUAUGGGACGGUUAAUUGGGUUUUCAUAGCUGCGGAAUACGAUUUGAUCUAUGAGGAGGGCGUACGACAGUGGAUGAUCCAACAGAACCAGCCCGAUCAAGUGGAAGAGAUCAAAGGGUCUGGUCACAUGGUCAUGAUGUGUAAGCCAAUAGAACUUUUCAAUCUUCUCUUAAGCAUUGCUAUGAAAUACAAGCCGGAGGAAGGAAAAGAUCAUUUUGCAGUGUGACAUUCUGUAAAAUAAAUCAGUGAUGGGAUUCUAAUUUUUUGGAUUUUCUGUUUUUUAAGAAGUAAAAAGCUAGUCCUAUUAUUGUUCUUCCUGUUUCAAGCAUUUUUUUUUCUUACAAGUUUUAGCUGAUUUGCACAUGAUCCAGGUCAGUCAAAUUUAUAAAAUGGGCGAUAGACCACGGCCCAAAUGAACAUCAAACUGAAACUUCCCCCAUUUUCCUUUUUGACUUUUUCAGGAUCCUAGAUUUCAUUAUCUUAUAAGCCCUUUCAGUCAAAAGAAAAAGCCAACUUCCUGGAAAGUUACAAUCUUGUCCAACCUUAAAUUGAUGGGCUUUGUCAAACGGCAGAAAGUACUCAAUCCAGAAAGAAACAUGGAACAGAAGCAGAAGCUCGUGGUCUUAGUUUCACUUCUGAUUUACUACCUUCCUGCCAUGGUACUUGGAACUUCAUCCGAACCACCAAAGCACUUCGUGCUGGUGCAUGGGUCCUGCCAUGGUGCUUGGUCAUGGUACAAGCUGGUGCCACUGCUAAAAUCAGAGGGCCACAAUGUCACCGGCAUAGACCUUGCAGGAUCAGGGGUGGAUCCACAGCAAGUGAACACUCUCAGGUCGAUUUCUGAUUACAUCAAGCCAUUAAGGGACUUCAUGGAAUCUCUACCUGAUCAACAGAAAGUCAUCCUUGUUGGUCACAGCUUAGGCGGUUUGGCUAUCUCUCAAGCAAUGGAAAGGUUUCCUGAGAAGAUUUCUGUAGCUGUUUUUCUCACUGCCCUUAUGCCUGGCCCGACCCUAAAUAUUUCAACUCUCAGUCAAAGGGUACCCAUGCAAUAUUUUUUUUUUUUCUGUUCUAAUUAUCGACUCCAAAGUUUUAAUUUUUUUUUCAAUUAUUCACUAGUUCUAACUUCUACUCCACAAUCUGGGCCAAAAUUGUGAAGCUACAGGCUUUGAACUGUGGGCCAAAAAAUUUAAUAUUCAAACAACGUUAGCCUUUGUAUGGGUUACUACGGGCCUGUGUCACGAGUUCUCUUUUGUUCCUAAUUUAAAAAAUAUGCAAAAAAAAUUAUUUAUAAAUUUAAUUUUUAUUUUAUCUUUUAUUAAUGUAAAAUUUAUGAAUGAUUCUUUGAAUCAUAAAAGGGAGAAAUUGCACCUUAAUUCAGAUUAAAGAUGUCACUAAUAACAUAUUCAAGCUUUCAACUCAAAACACAUAUUUAUUAAGUAAAAAUAAUUUUUAUUUAUAAGCUCAAUUUUCACCUUAUUUAUCAUUAAUGUGUGGCUGCAACUUGUCUCUUUUCUUUUGGAGGUGGUUGAAACUUGUAAGUUGAAAGGUGACCUUACAUCGUCCUCACAAUUUCCAAGUUCUGAUAUUUUUCUCUGUGUGUGUGUGUCUCUCUCUCUCUCUCUCUGUCUUUGUUGAAGGCAUUUAAGGAGCAAGAUUCCCAAAUGGACAGCCUCUACACUUAUGAUAAUGGUCCCAACAACGCUCCAACCACCUUUAUUUUUGGUCCCUUGUACCUCUCUUCCCAAGUCUACCAGCUUAGCCCACGUGAGGUAAGAUGAUGUGCAACUAUCUUUAAUUCAUGUAGCCUAUUUUAAAUCUUAUAAGAUUUUAAAAUACUAUGACACUGAAAUUAUGCUAACAACCUUUGCUUUGCAAGAGUACGAUUGCAGGAUUGGGCAUUGGCUAAUAUGUUGAUGAGACCAAUACCUUUGUAUAGCAUGGAAGACAUGUCAACAGAACUAGUACUUUCCAAGAAGAGGUACGGGUCGGUUAAUCGGGUUUUUAUAAUUUCGGAAAAAGACAUGGUCUCAAGGAAGGAUUUAGUACAUUGGAUGAUUGAGAAAAACCCGCCCCAUCAAGUAGAAGAGGUCAAAGGAUCCGAUCAUAUGGUCAUGAUGUCCAAGCCUAGACAACUUUGCAAUCUUCUCCUAAGCAUUGCUACGAAAUGAUGCUAAUAUUAUUAAAAAAAAUAAAGAUAAAAAAUAAAGCAUGUUUAAGUUUACAUGUUACAAAUAAUGUGUUAUAGAAUUUACAACUUAAUCAUCUUUUUGUAUCGAAUCUUGGUUUUAGAUUUUUUUUGCUUUAAUAAAUGAAUAGAAAAUUCGAAUUAUUAGUAGCAUUCUCUGAUUAAAUUGACUUUAAAUUAAUAUACUAAUCAAAAGGAGGCAGAAACAUUAAACAAUCGCCACCAUAUUGCUUGAUUUUGUAAUGAGUUGCCAUUAUUUUAUUUUUCAUGACCAGGGAGAAGCAAUGUUUUUAAUUGGUUCAAAUCAUGUGAUUAACAUGCAACAUACAUCAAAGCAAUCAGCACAUUAUAAUAAUAAUAGUAUAAUUAUAAUUAAAAUAAUAAUGUAAUAAAUCAUGUUUACGAUAUGGAUGGUAUAUUCAUAUUUUAUUCCAUUCUUGUCAAAUUUAAAAGACAUGAUUUCAUCGUUACUUAAUUAAUAUAAUAUGAAAGUAAUCAUAUGGUUUAUUUUAAGUGGGAAUAAACCAUAUUAUUCAAUAAACAAGUCAUAAUCAUCAAUAAUUAUACACUUUUUAUAUUAUCUUAUUUCAUAAUCCCAAUAAUUAUUGUUGACCAUUUUGGCGUUUUGUUCAUGUAGUUUGAACUAGGUAAAUUACAAAGAAAAAGUGACUAAUUUUUGAGUAACCCAUAAAAAUCUUUCUAAGUCGGGGGUUUUUUUUUUUUUUUGGAAUGUGUUAUUUGUCCAGCUUGGCAAUGAAAUGACUCCCAAUUUCAAUUUGGACCAAGUGACAAGUAUCCAAAUCCAAUAUCCAUGAAAGACGUUGCUUUAUGGAAAUGCUGAUGCUGAGUCACGACGAGGGACGAUAAAUAUCCCCAACAAUGCAUGCACAAUACAUAUAUAGAUGUUUCUCUAUACCAUCACCACCUCUCUCCGACACAUACACCCCCAUUUGAAGCAGAGGAAGCUGUGCGCCCAAUGCCAAGUCAGUCAAACUCUAUCCAUCCCCAACACACUGACGUAACUUGCUAGUGGGCAGGGGCAGAUGGGAUUAGCUUAUUCUUGAUCACAUCCACGGAAUAAAGUCUGCAAGCUGUCUUAUCUGGAUUGAAUUCUUGGGCCACCCAGCUCCAAAAAGGUUAAAAAAGAAAUGGGUUUAUUUUUGUAAAGAUACUUCCUUGUUUGUUGAUCAUCCUCGACUGAUAGUUAUCUGGAAAAUACAAACUAAUGAAAUAUGCAUCAUGCAACGAAAGGGCCUGAUAUUCUAAGCCAAAAAUAUCUGCCAAUAUUCACCGUUGCAAGUCUGUCCAAAAGCAGACACAAAACCAUAUGUCUCUGCUUCAAUAAUGUUGUUGGACACAUGGAGAACGCUAAAGUUAUAAUUAAACUGUCUGCAUGCUUCUGCCACAUCUCCUCCUCCGUUUCUCCUUUUUUUUUUUUUUUUGAAACCAGUUUUCUUUUAUUCUAACUUGAAUUGCAAGCAAAAAUUGAAGCAAACGUAGAAUAAUAUUCAAAUACCUCACCCCAGCACUCAACCAAAAACUUUGAAAUUCAGAAAGAAACGUAACUCUUGUGGUGGAACAUCAUACCGGCUAAGCCUAUAUUUACACAUUCCAAUAUUUCCAACCCUAGCUAGCUAUUCAGAGAAAGAACAAAAUUACAAAGGCUGGUCCAAACCUAAGACUUCUAGUUGAACAAGGUACAAGGAUCAGUGUUUCUCGCUUGGAAAAAGCCAGAAAAAAAGUGACAAUCAAGGAAGAAACCCAACGAAGGGAACUGGAGUACCCAAAGACCGGCUACCUGUUAACGCCGGCGCCCCGUCGUUUUGGUGAAUGACAACCCCAACUGCUUCAGCUACGACCAUGACAAACUCUAUGGCUAGUUUCAGCAACUCCACGCAAAUCUCCAAUCUUUGCAGCAACAUUGUUGCAAGUCCUCUCACUCUUUUUUCCUUUCCUUGUGGUUUCCUUUUCGGCUUCAAUUUCCCGCGUCCCUCUUCUUUAUCAACCCUGAAAGACUCCCCUAUUUAUAUACCAGAACAUGAAACACCGUCGCCAAUGGAAAAGAAAAAAACUGAUUGGUUGAAGAAGAUAAAUAUGGCCUUUGGAAACACCCAAAGGUCGGUUUGCCUCUCCUUGUUGAAAAUUCAAUUAUCCCAAAACCAAGUUAAAAUUUUCAAAAGCUGUUGGCAACAGACACACCAAAUGUUUAUCCGAUUGAAUUGACCACAAACGGGACAGCGAGACAAGGCUUCAAGGUAUGGAUGACCAUGACCCUAUUCCCAUUAAUGUGGUUGGCAACAUUACCCUUAACAUGCCAUUAUAACUACCCGACAAACUUCAUAAUUAAGGGAAAUGGGUCCAACUUAGGCCUACCAACAUGCUGGAUUGCUAAACCAAUGGCGGUUAAACAACCAUGCAUGCCGGCAGCAAUAAUUUUGUGAAUCCACA